rnacentral:lncRNA from 1 species
AAGAUUACAAAGAAUUGGGAGUACCUGAUUGAAGCUGUUAUUGUUGUACAAUCUCAUCUAUUUCCACAUAGGGGAUGUGGCCAAUCUUGGGCCAAUCAUUUCCUUUGCCCUUGAGGCACCUCUUUUUUAGAAUAGGACACUCCCGGAUUACAAGUCUUGCAAGUGUUGGUGGUAGCCCUUCCUUUGGCACAAAAGACCGGAGCUUAGGGCAACUGUAGAAUUCAAGACUUUUAAGAGACAUAAGGCUUCGGAGACCCAUGGAGGUUACGGAUUUCAAGUUGUGGAGAUUUACCAACCCGAGAGAGGUGAGAGAUGUAGGAAGAAGUAGGUGAGAGCCGGAAAAAGAAAGCAGAUCUGGGAAUGGGCCAUGAAUCCCGAGCUCAUCAAGUGAGGUGAGUGUGCGGAGGCCCCACCCAGAUAGAGGCCACCUCAUAUUCCCAUAAUCUGAAAUAAGAAGUUGUUUAAGGUUGGGGUUCAAAAACGCUUCUGGAGAGGACACCACAUCUGGACAAUUACAUAUGGUCAGAAGUCGAAGAGAUGUGAGAUUUUCCAGCAGAUUCCCUGGAAUCGACUCCAAUUGCUCGCAGUUCCAAAUGGUAAGCGUCUCAAGUGUGGAGGGAAAGUAGCCUCUCGGAAUGGACUUGAGAGAUGAACAUCCCCAUACACGUAGAUAUUCAAGACGACAAGUGUUGUUGUUGUCAAUUCCCUCAGGUAGAGACUCUAGUUUCUCACAAUUUUCAAUUAGCAGGUUCUUAAGGGUGACAGGUAGCUCCCCUUUCGGAAAGCCAAUAAGAGAUGGACAAUCUCUAAUUACCACCUGCUCAAGGGCACAACUGUCAAUCAUCAUUCCAUCAGGUAGUGUCUCUAGACCCUCACAAUUUCUCACACUAAGAUCUCUUAGCAUGGGCGGCAAACCUGUCUCUGGGAAUGACACGAGUUUCGGGCAAUUAUGAAUUAUCGUAUAUGCAAGAGAUGUGAGGGUGUGCAAUGCAUUUGGCAGCUUCUCUAAGUUGGAGCAUCCCUUCACUUCCAAGUAUUGAAGAUUGCAAGGCAGCCCUUGCUCUUCCAACGAUACAACCCCAUCACACCCAUCGAUCCAUAAACGUCGCAGACCACCAAGGUUUUCCAGUCCAAAUCCAGGCUUCCUCAAACAUGCCAACUCAUCACAUUCAGUUAUUCCCAGAUCUUCAAGGACCAUUAAGCGUUGUGCAAGCCUUUCCCAUAAACAACUCAGCCUCGAAAUUCCCCAAAUGUAUAAUUGGGUAAGUGAGGGGACAUCACCAUCCCAACUUUUUAACGACCCAACUACUAUUAAUUCAGUAAGAAGUGGAAGUCGUGGAAUUGACAUUUCCAGUUCUUGGCAUUCUCUGACAUGAAGCGUCACAAGGGAAGGUAACUCAUGAGGUAAGUUGAUCAAUUUUGGACAUCUUAUGAUUUUAAGCUCACGAAGGCAAGGAAACAAUGUUUUAGUUUCCUCAUGUCCCAAUUUGGGAAUUAACCAAUUGUUCCAUUCUGCCAUAUUCUCAAAUCUCAGAGAUUCCAAAGACUGAAAAGGGUUUGCGGUAUCCCCAUAGAACCCAUCACCUAUGCUUUUAACUUGAUUCAUUCCUUCAAUCACCAAGUCUCUGAGGAAGGUAAACCCCCAAGUGCUGGCAAUGAUGUGCAAUUUUUACAAUUUGUAAGUUCCAAACAAACCAUUUUGGAGAANNNNNNNNNNNNNNNNNNNNNNNNNNNNNNNNNNNNNNNNNNNNNNNNNNNNNNNNNNNNNNNNNNNNNNNNNNNNNNNNNNNNNNNNNNNNNNNNNNNNAUUCAGUAAGAAGUGGAAGUCGUGGAAUUGACAUUUCCAGUUCUUGGCAUUCUCUGACAUGAAGCGUCACAAGGGAAGGUAACUCAUGAGGUAAGUUGAUCAAUUUUGGACAUCUUAUGAUUUUAAGCUCACGAAGGCAAGGAAACAAUGUUUUAGUUUCCUCAUGUCCCAAUUUGGGAAUUAACCAAUUGUUCCAUUCUGCCAUAUUCCGAAAUCUUAGAGAUUCCAAAGACCGAAAAGGGUUUGCAGUAUCCCCAUAGAACCCAUCACCUAUGCUUUUAACUUGAUUCAUUCCUUCAAUCACCAAGUCUCUGAGGAAAGGUAAACCCCCAAGUGCUGGCAAUGAUGUGCAAUUUUUACAAUUUGUAAGUUCCAAACAAACCAUUUUGGAGAAGGAUGGAUCUCCUAUCCAAUGCGGGAAUUUUGAGCCACCAUAAAAUGCAAUUUCCAGUUUUUUCAAACUUUGAUGAGGUUGCAACCACUUAAGGACCUCUAUCUCAGUACUUUCAUUCCUUGAAUUACCAGAAUCUUCACUCCAUACCAUAAUUAAGUCUUCAAUAUUUGGUAUCUCCUUCAAAUUGACAUACAUUGCAUCUCUUGGAUCCGAAACAUUUUCCAACCCUAAAAUGGCAAGCUCUCCUCGAAGAUUCAACAAGUUCUUCAAUUCUUUUAUUCGUGGCCCAUUAUCUUUGCUUAGAAAAAACUUAGACAAUGUUUGCAAAUUUACCAAGCUUCCAACUUGUGGAGGCAUCUCUUCCAACAUAGUUGAACCACUAAUAUCAAGAUGUCGAAGAUUGGUUAAAUUCAUAAUGCAAAUAGGCAACUUAAUGAGUUCCAUACAAUUGCAUAAUAUCAAUGAUUGUAAAUUGUAGAGACUACUCACUGCUUCAGGUAACCAUUUGAGUUUAGUAUGAGACAAAUUAAGAUACCGUAAAUNNNNNNNNNNNNNNNNNNNNNNNNNNNNNNNNNNNNNNNNNNNNNNNNNNNNNNNNNNNNNNNNNNNNNNNNNNNNNNNNNNNNNNNNNNNNNNNNNNNNNNNNNNNNNNNNNNNNNNNNNNNNNNNNNNNNNNNNNNNNNNNNNNNNNNNNNNNNNNNNNNNNNNNNNNNNNNNNNNNNNNNNNNNNNNNNNNNNNNNNNNNNNNNNNNNNNNNNNNNNNNNNNNNNNNNNNNNNNNNNNNNNNNNNNNNNNNNNNNNNNNNNNNNNNNNNNNNNNNNNNNNNNNNNNNNNNNNNNNNNNNNNNNNNNNNNNNNNNNNNNNNNNNNNNNNNNNNNNNNNNNNNNNNNNNNNNNNNNNNNNNNNNNNNNNNNNNNNNNNNNNNNNNNNNNNNNNNNNNNNNNNNNNNNNNNNNNNNNNNNNNNNNNNNNNNNNNNNNNNNNNNNNNNNNNNNNNNNNNNNNNNNNNNNNNNNNNNNNNNNNNNNNNNNNNNNNNNNNNNNNNNNNNNNNNNNNNNNNNNNNNNNNNNNNNNNNNNNNNNNNNNNNNNNNNNNNNNNNNNNNNNNNNNNNNNNNNNNNNNNNNNNNNNNNNNNNNNNNNNNNNNNNNNNNNNNNUGAAACUAGUACAGCAAGUGGGGAUAAGGCUUCGUACCUUACUAGUGUUGGGGGUCUGAGGGCGUUCUGCCAUCAACUUGUGUCGCAGUAGCUCGGUGGCGAACUCAUCCAGUACGUCCUCUGCAUCAUAAGCCAAGUCUCUGAGCUGGCAUAGCCAGUUUUUCACUGCAGGCGACGUCAUCUGCUUCAUCUCAGCAUCAUCGAGCACUUCAUUCACAGUCAGCAAAUUGUCCUCCCAUUUCUUGAGUUCAGAAUAGACUUUCUGUUGGCGAGCAAAUUGGAGCAACUCAGAGGAGACUAGCUUUUUCAACAACAAUUCAAGACCAGCAGAGAGAACAACCUCUCCAACAACCUCCAUUGUUUCUUAGUUUUGAGUGAGUUAGGGAGAGAGGUACGAAAGCAAGAGAAGAAGAGGAAAUUGGUCAGGAGGGUGAGACUUGGAGCAACUAAUUGAGAAACUGAAAUAAUUUCGCUAAUUAGGGAAUAAGGGAAUACAAUUUUGGCAGGCGUACACGCAAAGGAAAAGGAUUAAGUGGAAGGGUAGCAGAUGGACUCCUGCUUAAAAGUAGGGGAAGCUCUUAGAAAGGGAAAAAAGCACCACAUUCCAUGCUUAGGAAUGGAGAAAGCAUCUGAAAAAACUAUAAGCGAUUGGAGAAGUUAAUUAAACCACAAAUUUCUUAUUCAAAUAAGUACAGAUCUGUAGAUUAAAUCCGAACUCCUGUGUUGGCACAGACUUGAAUAGCAAUACUUAGAGUAAAAUAAAGAUAGUUCUAUAAUUUCCUUACAGUUUUUUGAGUUUAAAAUUAUUUUUUGAAAAUUAAUAUACCUUUUAACAAAUCUAACACAUUGUGUCCUACUUGAUUCGGAAUCUACUUGUCUAGUUAGAAAAUUUUGAAAAUUAUAAUUCUAUGUAGAACAUGUUUGAUCUUAAAUUUAUGAUACUAAUUACUUCAGUAUUUCGUUUUCAAAUUAUUUUUAAAAGUGACUAAACUCAUUAAUAAAUCAAAUACAUUAAGUAUUGUUUUUAAAAAAAAUAAUGCAUUCACCUUCUUUUAUAACCAAAUAAUACAAUCUUAACCCAUUUAUUUGAUGGGUUGAUUUAGUACUAGACAAAAAAAAAUCAUUAAACAAACAAAAAUUACUUUUUUUUAAUUCGUAGGGAUUGGAGAAGUCAGAGCAAGUAAUUGAGAAACUAAAACAAUUUUGCCUAAGGAGUACAAUAUUGUAGGAAGGCCAACACACAAAGGAAAAGGAUGUAGUGGAAAGGUAGCAGAUGGAUUGCUAAGAAGCUAGGGAAGUUCUCAAGAAGGGAGAAAAGCACCUCAUUCCAUGCUUAUGAAUGGAGAAAGCUUCGGAAAAAACUAUCGAGGGAUUGGGUAAGUUUUUCUUUUGUUGGCAUAUAUAAACUUCUGAAGGAGUUAAGCCUCUUCUAAGCCUCUUUUAAGACAUACAUUUCUGUUUGCCCAUGUAUGUUUAACCUUGUUUCUAAAAUUAUUUUAGAGUUAAAAAGAAAAAAUAAGUUUUUUACGUAUGUCUUAAAAAUAAUAAUACUUGGCAAGUUGUUUUUAAACAUAUUUAUCAAAAAGCAAAAAAACAAAAACACUUUUGGAUAAGUAAAUUUUAGUUGCUUUUAAAAAUAGUUUUUCUAUUUUCAUUUUGUACAAAAAUAAAAAUAAAAAUUGUACACUCAUUUUAUAUUAAUAUCAAUUCAAUUCAAUUCAAGUCUUAAUAAAAAUAGAAAAUAAUAAUUAUAUAAUGAAAAAUAAAUAAUUUUUGUAAAAUACCAAUACUAAUAUUAUAAUAAAAUUAUAAGUAAAUUUUUUAAUUAGAAAUGAUAUAAUUUUAAAUAGAUAUAAUAAAAUAUGGAUAUUAAUAUCUUCUUAAAGGUAUAAUUCUUUUUUUUUUUUUUUGUUAAAAUUGAAUAAUAAUACUUUAGAAAUAAUAAUGGUUAAUAAUAUUUUACUUAAAGUGAAUUUAAAAACAAUAAAGUUCACUUAUAUAUAUAAAAGUGGUAAAUAUGCUAAGUUUUUGCAUUACGCAUUUAAUAUUUAGCCAUUGUCAAAGUGCUAUGCUAAUAAUUGAGUUAGUUUUUCAAAAUCUCAAUUAUUCUUAAAAAUUAGUCAAUUAAUUAGAGAAUUUAAAACAUUAAUUCUCAUUUGAUUUGGGCUCAAUUAAUUUAACAUCUGUUUACCUAAUAAAAAAAAAUGAGAAGGUAUAUUUAUGCGCAUAUGAGAAACAAUAUAAUUAUUGCUCAUUCUAGACUAAUUUUUAUCUUCUUUUUUUAAAAAAAAUUGAUUCUAUUUUUGAAUUUUAAAUUAUUUUAAAAAAUUACUUGGUUCAUCUACAAAUCUAAUAUGUUGAGUUUUGCUUAAUUUAGAGUUUCUUUGCCUAACCAGAAAAUUCAUAAAAUUAUAAUUAUAUCUGGAGGAGAAACAACAAAGUUUUUUUGGACUAGUUUUAUGCUAUGAAUUUCUAAUAAUAAUUACGUUAUUAUUUUAUUUUUAAGUUAUUUUUAAAAAUUAAUAAACUUGUUAACAAUAUUAAUAUAUUAUGUCUUGUUUAAUUUGGAAGAGAACUCAUUUGUCCAGUUAGAAAAUUUUGAGAAUUAUAGUUCUAUGUCAAAGAGUUUGUCCACAAAUUCCAAUAUUAAUUAGUUUAGUAUUUAAUUUUUAUUUCUUUAUUAAAAAAUUACUAAACUUUUUAAUAAAUCUGAUGUAUUAAGUUUUGCUUAAUUUGAAGUAUAUUUUUCUACAUAGAAAAUUCACAUAAAUUUCAUUAUGUGUAAAAGAGAAAAACAGUCAUUUAAGUACCAAAUCUGGUUCAAGAAUCUUUGAUAGUAAUUUUUGGUGUUUGAGUUCUAAUUUUCUUUAACACUUGUUAAUAGAUCUAACACAUCAAGUCUUAUUGGAUUUUGAUUCUAUUUGCUUAAUGAAAAACCUUAUAAAUUUUGGUUUAUAGUUAGAUGUAAAGGAGAAACAAACAAAGUCAUUCAGAAUCAAUUUUGGUCAACUUUCUAGUAUUAAUUGGAUCAAUUUUUUUAGUUUCAUGACUUUUUAGUAUUAAUUAGAUUAGCUUUAAAUUAUAAAUUAUUUUUAAAAAUUGUCAAAUCCUAUGCGUUAAGUCUCAUUAGAUUUGGAAUUUGUUACACACUCCUUCGACUAUGGUUGAACUAGGCAUCACAGUUUUCCAGUAGAUUAGGGAGAAAGAGAGAGAGAACGAGAAUGAUGAGAAAAGGUUGGGUUGCUUAGGUCGACCCUUUUGAGAUGAUUAAGUUUGUCAUGGAUUAAAGUAGGAAUAAGAGAUAUGAGAUAGAGUUCACUGUGUGUACUUUUUCUAAAAUAUGGUCUUCUUCUUGUAGUUACCUUUUGAUAGAUUGAUCAUGGGAAGACUAUAAAUGAGAUGUUCGUUGGGUAUUAUUUUAAAUGAUUUCUAUUAUGUUCAUCUUUAAGGCUUUAAUCAUUAUGAGAUGAUUAUGACAUAACUGUUAGGACAAUGAAUAGUUUUUUCAACAACUUUUAAGGUUUAAUCAUUAUUUGACUAAUGAGGGGGUCAUGUCCAUUUUAUAAUUAAUGCAAGGGUGCUCUUUGUGCGAAGAUCAGUCUUUAGGUGGUUGUAUUAUCCAAACAGUGGUCCUCUUUUGUGUGGGGAUGACCCAUUUUGUGAUGCGAUGAUGGUAGUAGUCUAGUCACAUUUAUUGCAUUACAAUGUGGUGGGUCUCAUAAUAGCUUUAUGGCUAAUAAUGGGCGUAGUGGUGCACCACCUUAUUAGCUAAACAUAUGGCAGAGGAUUUCUAUUUCACAUAUUGAAAGUUGAUUAAAGGAUGGUCUUCUUAACCACAAUUUAGGGAUUAUUGAUUAUAUGACAACUUUAGAAAGUCUCAAGAGACAGAUAACUAAGCUUUGACUAUAAAAUCUUCAAUUAUUGAUGUUGUUGCAAUAUGUAUUAAGACUUUUACUAUCUCUGUAACACUGACUGCAUCCUUUACAGAGCAAGCUCGCUUUGAUUUCAAGUAAGGGAAUCAAUUGAGUCAUCAAAAGGUUUGUAUUGGAGGAUGAAGUGGAUAAGGUAGAAGAGAUCAAGGAGGGCAAAGGAGAAGAUGGUGAUGGUCAGGGAGGAGUGUAAUUGUUCUCUUCCUUGUUUUGGAGAAAUAUCUAGUAUCCUUUAAUUAAUUAAACAAAUCAUCAAUCUUUGGCAAAAGGUAUUUAUUCUUAAUGGUGACUUCAUUCAAUUUCUUAUAAUCAAUUCACAACUUAAAGAACCAUCUUUCUUCUUAAAAAAUAGUAUAGGAACACCCCAUGGAGAAUUACUUCAUCUAAUGAAUUCCUUAUCUUGAAGUUUUCGAAGUUGAAUCUUCAAUUCUCGUAACUUAACUAGGGUGUAAUUGAUGUAGGAAAUAUACUUGGACAAACUUCAAUGGUAAAGUUACAUUCUCUCUUUGGAGACAAUCCAAGUAAUUCUUCAAACAAAAAAAACAUCACUAAAUUAAUUAAUAACAUGAAAGGACUGCAAAUCUUUUUUUUCCUUUAAUCUCUACUUAAACACUUGUCAAAAAGUAUUUACCAUCUUUCUUUAAUCUUAAUUGAUAAUACUAAUUUAAUGGAGGACAAGGAAAUGGUGCACCCUUAUCAUCAAAGAAAUAAACUACAUCCCUUCCUAAGAUAUGAAUCUUUACCUUUCUUUUAAAAUAGUCAAUAAUAGCAUGGUGGGGAGGAUAAAAAUUUAUGCCUAAAAUUACAUCAUAUUCUAACAUCUUUAAAACAACUAAAUCUCCUUUUAAUUCAUGAUUUAGAAUUGUCAUAUUACAUACUGUACAUAUUCUUUUUCUCUCUAAGUUUUGUCCCAUAGGAGGACUAAUAGAUAAAGAGGAUCUAUGUCCCUUAAGUACUAAUUCUAGUGCAUUCAUGAAGAAGGCAAAAAAGAAAGAGUUGUUGUUCUAGAAUCAAAUGGAACUUUUGCUCAAGAAUUAUAAACUAGGAUAGCAUCUUCCAAAAAGGUAAGAGCGUUAUCUUCCUUCACUUUAUCUAUAACAUACACAUGUCCUUGAAUAAUACCUCCUUAAUUACAUUAACUCCUAUUAGGAUCAUGACUAAAUUCCAUGAACUCCUGAUUUCUAUUGAAAUUUAAAUGGUCAGUUUCUUUGGUUUGUGAUGGAAAGGUUAAAUGACAUUGUGGUUUUGCAAAAACUAAGGACAAAUUUGUUGUCCAAAAGUCCUCUGGUUUUGGUUUGGGAGAAAUCCUUCACAAGACACUCUCUCCAUUAUUUCCCACACCUAAAACAAUCUUACCUUUACACCAAAAUUUGUCCAAGCCCUUGUGGCUACUAUGGGAGAUUUCUCAUUUCCCUUUUAAAAUUACUCCUUGACUGUUAUUCUACCUAUGUUCUUAAAUCCUCUAAGUAUUGUAAUCUAUUACUCAACUAUUAAAGUCAUGUUCACUAUUAUUCAAUAUUCUCCUAAGGAUAAAGGCACCGUGUUCUCCUUCAUACAUUCCCCCAAGAAAAGAGAAAUUGGUCAAUUCAAUGUAAGUAAAAAGUCAUGUAUGUCUUUUAAUAAGCAUGUGCAAAUCUAGAUAUGCAUGAUAUCAAAAGCAUAAAUAUAGAAGAAAAAAAAAACAUGUUCAAACUCAUUCCCUUUGUUAUUGAAAGCUUUGAAGGUUGCACCCUAAGACUUUUGAAAAUAGUAGAGACAUCUCAUAAGUUGGUAAAAAUCUAUAAGUUUCAUCAACUCUCAUGGAGUCAAUGUUCUUGUUUUCUUCUAUAACAAUUACCUUGUGUUUGAACCUUUUAGGAAGAGAUUUAAGGAUUUUCAUAACUACCUUAGAAUAGAGAAUCUUUUCCCCAAGGUUAAACCUCAAGUUGAAAAUAUUACUUAAUUUAAAAAUGAAUCCAGCAAACGUUUUAGCAUCUCAUAUCCUUAAACUCUCAAAUAUAGCUCUGAGCAUUUGAAUCUUAGACAACUUCACAACCAAAUGCCCUCAUGAAUAAUCGAUAGUAUGUCCCAAGCCUCAAAAUUGCUAUCUUAGAAGACAAAAGUUAAAAAAACAUACACCUUAUCCUUUUAUAUAUAAUACAAAUAAUGACCAAAUAUUUCAUAAAUAAUUGUUGCGACUAAUUUAUACCAUAUUAAUCUUAAAACCAAUAAAAUAAUUGAAAAUAGAAACACAUGUUUUGUUUUUUUUAAUGAAAUUUUUAAAAAAAGAAUAUAAUAAAAUAUUUUAAAACUUGUAUUUCUUUUGUCUAUAUAUUCUUUGUUUGAAAAAGUUUGAUAGUAAAGAUUUCAAAUUUAUAUUUUAUUCUUUUUUCCUCUCAUUUUUAUGUUUCCAUUCAUUUAAGUUGAAAGUUAGUUUCAACAUACAUCUUUAAAAUAUAUGUAUUUAAAACCAUAAGUAAUUAGAUUAAAAAUAGAAAAAAGGGGUUUUAAUUUUGUUUACUUGAAAAAAAAAAGUAAAAGUCUAAUCAUAUUUGAGAAAAGUUAAAAGUUCUCCAUGGUUGGAAAAAGGUAAGGUGUUGGAGCAAUAAAAAAAGGGUGCUCCAUAGUCCAUGGUCGCAAUGGAAAAAAAAAAAAAAAGAUAGAGAGAGUGAAGAUCAAGUGUUGCAUAUUUUAGGAAGCGUGGGAGAAAAACCCCAAAAGGUUAUCUAUCUAAAUUAUCUUUAAAUAUUAAUAUUAUGGGUGAAGGUGAUUAAAAUAGUAUUAAUUAGCAUGCCCCAACUCAAUUUUUGUUCUCCAAAUAACUUCAAAUUCUAUGGAAGAGAGCAUUUUUGUCUUGCUUCAUUUUACAUAUGUUCAAUAAAUUCAUGGAACUAGAAAUCAAGUAAAACCCAUUGGUGUUUCACUUUAGUAGCUAGGGGAAGAGAAUGGUAGAAGUGUCAAGCUUAUCGAGAAUCCUCUUUUGGUCUCUCUCCAUAUAUAAAAACUUCAUUCACAACUAAAACAACAACAACCAUUGAUGGCAUAGGUUUUCAAAUGUUUUAGCUCAUUUCUUUUCUAAUGAAACAAGUCUCAUAUCUUGAAAUUCAAGACAUAGGAAAUAAAACCAUAAGUUGAAUUUCCAAGUUCAAAUGAUUCUAGAAAGAAAAAACGUGUAAUUAAGAUUGCAUUGAGAUUUUGUCUUGUCACAGGCAAUAUAUUGUCCAAAACAAGCCACUAAAUAAUACAAAUACUUUGUUCUUACCUCAUUAUAGAUUGAAAUUUUAAGUUCAUGCCAAGAAUGCAAGAGUUUCUAGGGCUCCCAAGAAGGGUUUUUUUCACUCCCAAGAGUAUUUCACAAGAUGAACCCCUAUUUUGAUUUCAAAGAAAGAACAUGUGAUGAAUAAUAAUAUGAAUUCAUCUUAUUCUUGAGAUAAAAAUUGUCACAAGCAUCCAAAAAAAAAGAGAAUCUACAAGACUAGUGCUUACAACAAUAUCAAACUUACAAAUGUUCAUUUGAAGUGUGAACUACAAGAGAAAAUAUUGAAACUUUAACCUUAUUAUGAAAAGAAAACAUCCCAAAAGCUCAAUCAAAAGAUAAAAAUACAUAUAAAACAUAUUUUUACACAUAAUCGAAUCACAUUUUAUUCAUCCACACUCUCUCCAAAGAGUAGAUAACAUCAGCUCCUAUUUCUCAAUCCUAUCCCAUAUCCUACAAUUAUGACAAUUUAUUGAAUCCCAUAAGAAAAUUUGAGUGAAGUAGGAGUAUGAAAAUUGAAUAACCUUCAAAAGAAUGACACAUGAUGCUUAGAAAUGCAAGAACUGUUGAGACAAGGUAAAAGUGAAGACUCAUAUCUUCAGUAGAAUAACAUUAAAGCUCAACUAUUUAGAUCAUAAAAAAUAAGCACUAGGUAGAACUAAAGAUUGAGAUACCAAAUUAAAAGCACAAUUUGAAACAUGGAAAUCAUAAAACAAAGGCUCAUUCUAGAUUUGAAGUUUUUUCUUCUCUCCACUAUCUAAUUUUAUUUCUCUUAUCAUUUAUUGAAGAUUUGAUUGAUAAAGGUUUCUAACACCUUAAGGACCUUAGACCUUUGGUAACACCACUCGCCCAUACUAUAUGAAAAUGGGAGAAAACUCAUAUCAUCUUUUUUUUUUUUUUUUUUUCUUAAUUGAUGAGACUUUAUAUGUAAUACAUGACCUCAAAACCUUCUUAGAAUAGUGCAAGAGGUGAUUAACAAAAACUUUCAGACAUGAAAUUGGAAUCACAUGUACCAAAAUUAAAAAAGAAUGGAGCACCAAAGGUAAGAAAUUCCACUUUCAUUAAAUAGAAAUUUCAUGUUUAGGAUAUUUACCUUUGCACCUACUAAUAAGUUGCCCCAAAGGUAAGAAAUUUUUCUUUCAUCUGCAUGUACAAUAUAAAUUCCAUCAUUACCAAAAGGUAAAAUCAGUAUUUUGAAAAUUGUUUUCUAUCACAACUUACAAUUGAAGUAUGGUAGGAAAUACUUCCUUUAACCAAUAAAGACAAAGCUAAGAGCACAUUCCCUGAUUCCAGAGCUUUUGGAUGCAUACAGAUGAAUCCUUUAGUAAGAUGUUAGCAUUCAGAGCCUAUAGUUGAAGUCUAAGGCCAAAUUUCCUAGUCAAAUGUUAAUCAAUGAGGAAUUCAGAAACAGAUAAGUCAAUAAUAAAAGUAUUCCACUCAAUCACUAAGUACAAAAUGCGACAGCAAGGAUGAUAAACCAUUCCCUUAGAGGAAUUUUUUUUUUUUGAGCAUGAUGAAAUUCUCAACUCUCCUAAUGAUGUGAGAUCAUGUUACUGUAAACCCUCCAUUUUGUCCUCUUAGCACAUGUCCUAUUAGGUAUUUGUUCCAUAUUUUACAACAAUUCCCUGAUGGCCCAUUACUACUCAUGUAGCCUAUCUUUUCUAAGCCACCUUGGGGACUUUGGUUGAGGGAUUUAUUUAACUCCAUUGUGACUCUUGGCAACCUUAGUUUAGACUUAAGCCCAUUUGGGAACCAUAGACCCACUUAUGCACCAUUAGGCUCACUUAGGCACCAUAAGUCCACUUAGGCACCUUAAGCCUAUUUAGGCACCUUAGGCCCACUUAGGCAUCAUAGGCCCACUUAGGCACCAUAGGCCCACUUAGGUACCAUAGGCCCACUUAGGUACCAUAGGCCCACUUAUGCACCAUAGGCCCACUUAAGCACCUUAGGCCCACUUAGGCACCAUUAGGCUCACUUAUGCACCAUAGGCCCACUUAGGUACCUUAGGCCCACUUAUGCACCAUAGACCCGCUUAUGCACCUUAGGCCCGCUUAGGCACCUUAAGCCCGCUUAGGCACUUUAGGCCCGCUUAGGAACCUUAGGCCCAUUAGGCACUAUAGGCCUACUUAGGCACUUAAGGCCCGCUUAGGCACCUUAGACCCAUUAGGCACCACUUUAGGCCCACUUAGAUACACAUGACCCAUUAGACACCACCUUAUGCCCAUUUAGGUACAUUAGGCCCAUUUAGGCACCCUAGGUCCAUUUAGUCACACUUGGCCCCUUAAGCACCACCCUAGGCCCACUUAGACACUCUACGCCCAUUUAGGCACGCUUGACCCGUUAGGCACCACCUUAAGCCCACUUAGGCACCAUAGGCCCACUUAUGCACCAUAGACCCAUUUAGGCACCUUAGGCCCACUUCGGUCAUUUUUUGCAUGGAUGCAUGGUUUGCAUGGCUUGCAUGGUUGCAUAGCUCGUAUGGCUUGCAUAUGCUUGAUUUUGUUUUUAUCUUUCUCUAUUAAUUAGUUUUAUUCAUUUAUUUUUAGGAAAUUGCAUGAGCUUAAUAAUCAUAUUCAUUUUUUUUAUUUAUCUAUUUAUUAGUUUAUUUUGAUAUAAAGUUACUUGAGUUGAAAAUUCAUUUUAGUUUUGCAUGUGAUCUAUAUUUUUUAAUUUCGUUUAAAAUUGCAUAUUUUGGAUUUUUAAUUCUUAGUUACACGUUUUUUUAUUAUUAUUGUAACUCUUAGUUUUCUUUUAUUGGUAUUUUUAUUUUCUUUUUUUUAUUAUUAUUUGUUUUGCAUGGAUCCCACGUGUUCCGUAAAAGAAAAAAGAAAAACACCAUUAGAAAGGAAAUAUGGAGGCAGUCGGUGGAUUGGAGAGAGAUGAAGAGAGAAAAGGAAAAACAAAGAAAAAAAAGAAAAUUGGAGGGGAUGGAGGGCGAUUGGAAGAGGAGAAGAAAACCUUUUUCUACCAUUUUUUCCAUCACCGUGGUUGUAGAGAAGCUGACUAAGUGAUGGAGAAAAGAUUAAGAAAAAAAGAAAAAAACGCACUAUUAAGGGGAGGUAUGAUGGAUUACUGAAAAAGAUUAAGGGUGAUCUGAAAGGAGAAAGGACGAUUGUUUCUACUGUUCCUUCUAUUACCGUGGCUGGAGAGAGGAGUUGAGGGGUGAUUAAGAAGAGAUUAAAAAAAAGAAAAAAAAAAAAGAAAGGGCAUGUGGAAUAGGAUCCAGCAUUCUGGAGAGGAGAGGGAGAGGCUGCCAUACACAAAGAGUAAAGAAGAGAUCUCCAACUUUAUGGAGGAGAUCAUCGAAAAAAGGUUGGAGGGUGGAUUCACGGAUGAAGGCUGGAUUUUUUAUUUUUAGAGAAAUUGACGUCUUUGGGAAGGGAACCAUCAACCAGCUGCACCAUUCUUGAUACACUUUCAGCACGCAUCAGAAGAGAGGGAAGAACGGGAGGAUUUCGAAGCGAAAUAAGGAAUGCGACAUUUGGACUCACCGAUGGUAACAACCUGAACACCCAGAUUGUUUUGGUCGACCCCGUCGCUGAAGUUGACGUAGUCAAGCUGGAGUUGGUGUUUGUGUCAUCUGAAUUUUCCUGUCGCAUCAGUAUUCUGAAUCUUCAUUUGGCCGAAAACUGAGAACCAGUCGAACAACAGCCCACCCAUCCAUGCCUUCCUGAAAAUGGUAAACUCUCAAAUUCCCAUCAUCGUCAAGGGUCGAUCUAUGUAACCAGGCCACACUAAGAUUCGAAAGAAUUUGCUUUUCUUCAUUCUCUUGCCACACGUUUCCAUGUUCAUCCAACUUCUGGAACACAAUAUCCGUAUUCCGAUGGCUAUCAGAAUAGUUGAAAACCAAUUGCAUGGAGUUCUUAAAUUUAUACUUACCGUUCCUUGAGACGAGUUCUGUACUGUUUAUUUGCUGAUAGGGAAUAGUAUUGGUUGAAGAACCAAAACUCCAUCAACCAGUACACCAUUGUUCUAGAGCAUCAUCGGAGAAGAGAAAACAGCUACACGCCACCAAGUUGUUUUGGUAACCCGACUAGGUAAGUUAUAUAUAUAUAUAUAUAUAUAGGUUUUCAGUAGAAUUUAAAGUUUUGGUUUAUUUUUUAAGUGUGAUUAUUAUAUUGGGUGAGUGGUUUGACUUAUAUUGUUAGCUCCAACAUGUAUUUGUUUUGACAUGGCAGCAUGAAUCUCACUCUUGUUUAAUUUUUGAUUUAUUACACAAAAGAUUAGAAUUGUGUUUAAGGUUAGUUUUGAUUUAUUAUAUUAAAUUCAGAAAAUAAAAUUUUAUGUAGUUUUACUUGAGAAAAAAUAUAGUUUGAUCUUUAUUUAAUUUAGUUUUGAUUCAUUUAAUUAUUAGUUGUUUAUUUAUUUAUUUUCUACUAAUUUAAUGAUUUGCAAUUUAUUUAUUUAUUUCUUAUUUAUUAAUAAGACUGAUCCUAUGGGUUAAAAAUUCAAUUUUUUUAAAAAAAAUAUGUUGUAGGUAGUUUGAAUCGGCUUUAGGUUUAAGUAAAAUUUUAGUUUGUUGAAAUGAUUGAUUUUAUGUGUUAAAUAUUAGAUUUUAGACUUGCCUUAAUUAGUGUUAAAAACGUUUGUUAAGCUUAAAUUUUAUUUUAGUAAUGUAAGUUUAGUUAAAAAAAAAAUUAAUUCCAUGAGUUCAUAUUUCGUUUUAGUCAUAUUUAUUUAUUUAUGUGUUAUCUACUUAUCCAUUUGUUAAUGAGUUUGAUUUUAUAGGUUAGAAAUUUAGUUUUAAAAUUUGUUUUGGGUAGUUUUAUAAUUUAAUUUUUGGUUAAAGUAAAAUUUUAGUUUGUUGAAAUAAUUGAUGUUAUUUGUUAAAUAUUUGAUUCUUAAAUUUGUCGAAAUUAGUGUUUAAUUCAUUUUGAGCUUAGAUUUCAAUUUAAUAAUGUAAAUUUAUUUAGGAAACUGAUUCUAUGAAUUCAUAUUUUGUUUUAGCUUGCUUUCAUUUCAUUUGAUUCAUUUUAAUUAUUUUAGGUAUUUUUUUAUAAUUCUAAGUUAUAAAUAAAAUCAAAUCCACAUUUAAAAGGUGUAUGUGUUUAGUUUACGUUGAUUUAACUUCACUCAUCUAUUCAGUUAGGUAUUUUCUAUAAUAUUAGCUCACUAAUAAAAUUAAUUCUAUGAUUGAAAAUUCAUGUUUGCCCUCAUUUAAUUUGGUCUAUUUUAAUCAAUCUAAAUGCGUUUGUGUGUUUAAUCGAUCACGUGUUAAUUCGUGAUUAUUACUCUUAAUUGAUAUGUUCAUUGAAUAUUAGUCAUUAAUUUAAUUGAUUUAAGUUUGAACAGUUUAUUGCUUUAGUAGUCUCUGGUAAAAUUUACUUUUUGGAGGCCAUCGAAAAAUAGUGAAGAUUGGCCUCCAUUCUUACUAUUUUAGUUUGCUCGGUUGUAAAAAAAAUAAUCAUUUUAUGAUUUUGUUUUUUCUUUUGUUUUGCUUGGUAUUUUGUUUAUUAUGUUCUGUUGUUUUUCAAAUUAUUUUAUUUUAAAAUAAAAUAAAAUACAUUUCUCAAAAUGUUCCUCAUAAAAAUCUAUUUAAAAAAAAAAAAUCCAUUUAGAGUCCUUAUAAUCCAAAUCUCAUUUUCUUAAAAUAACAUGCAACCAUUUUUUGAUCAGUUUGCAUCUUUCUCGAUUUUCAAUGAAAAUUUUGGUUUUGAAUAAAACACGAAUCAAAGUUUGUGGUCCCAAAUAAAUGAGAUGAUUCUAGGCUAGACUUUUGUAAACCAAUUGGGGAAUUGGUGAAUUUCCUACAUAAGAAAAAUUUUCAAAACUCUUCCUUGCUACCCGUUUUCACUCAGCCACUGACCCUUUAGAUUUAAAAUUUGUUUUAGCAACUUUGGAAUGUUUUUAAAUUUUUUUCCAAAUCUUGUAUGACUUUCCUCACUUCUUGAACUUGAAAUUUAAAGUUUCAUUUAAGUUAGAAAGUCAUUCUAGAAUAAAAGAUAUAAACGAGUUUUUAAGGAGAGUUUGUUUUCACCCAGAUCUAGACACCCGAGAUCUUUUUGCAAAAUUAAAAUACCAGACAACUUUUUAAAUUUGAUCCAAUAUUUUUCCUCAAUUCUAGGCUUCUUGAAAUUGAUCUUAGACACCUACUGUGCAUGAUGGAAUCUGGACAUCUAAUUACGUUGGAGCGUUUUAAAAAUAUUUUAGAGUACUACCCAACCCUGAAUUUGUUUUCCUUUUGAUAUAGACACCUUGAACGAUGUAUGUGAUUUUUUGUACGGAUUUAUGUGAUGUCUUAUUAUUGUUUUUAAAAAUUCAUUUAUGCAUGUCACUAUUUUUUUAACAAAUCUGGAUCUUUUGGAACUUUUUGGUGUCUUUGCUGUAAUUUUUCAUUCAAAUGAGUGUUUGGAUUUUGGUAUCUUGUUCUAGAUAUGUAGGAGUAGCUUCCUGAAAUUUUUUGUGAUUAAAUUCCACUCCAAGACAUUUUUUUAGCAAUUGUUUUGUGAUUCUCUCUUUACUAUAUGCAUGUUGAUGACUCAGUACUUGCUCGAAUUUGUUAUCUGCUUUUGGAGUAAUUUGACUUACCUUGGUUCACUUUUGGAUUUGGUACUGUAUAUUAGACAUAAUAGAGAUGUUAUAUAAUUUAUACUUUUCCUAACCAUUCUAACAUUUUUGGAGGAAUCUUAUAAAUUAUGCAUGUUAUCAAGGUACGCUCUCUAUCAUUUUUUUUCGGAAUUCCAUGAACAUGCAUGUUGUCGUGAGCCUUAUUUAUGCUUGAUAUGAUCCUUAAGUGCUUAGAUGUGUGCUUGAUUUGCUAUGAUUAAAUACAUGUCAUGUGUUAUAUUUUUAUACUAACUCUAAUGUUUUAUGAUAGCGCUUAAGAAGCGGUUCGGGUACGCAUCCUAACUCUUCUUUAUUAUGAUUUGAUCUUGUUUGGCAUGCUAUUUUUUUGAAAUCACCUUAGUCUACCUAGGUAUCCUCAAUUAAUCAAUUAAUUGCCACAUUUCCCUCAACUUAGUCAGUAGAGACCUUUGUAGGAGUUAGAGGGGUGCUACCUUUUAGAGGUACCUUCCCAAUAGGUAACCUGAUUCCUAAACCUAGGCUCGGGUUUUCCAAAGACACUUUUACAAAAACUAUGAAUUCAUUUUUUUCUAGGGUUUUAUUUCUUAUUUUAAUUUCCCUUUAAAAUAAAAUAAAAUAAGUGGCGACUCUGACUUUUCCAAAAUCAAUUUUUCACCAAUAAAAGUGAGUCUCACAAUAGAGUGGGGGAGCAAGUGAAAAAUGCGGGUCCACAAAUUGUUGACUCCACUGGGGAUGUUGAGGAUCAAGCUUGAACAUUAGUUGAGGAAAAUGUGGCAUUUAAUUGGUCGAUUAAAGGGUACCUCCUUUUUUAAAACAAGGUGAUUUAGUUUGUUUGCUUGCUUGGUUUGCUAUCUAACAUGUUUGAUUGCCUUGAAGGGUCACUUGAUUGCUUUGCUCACUUCAGCAUGAUUCACUUUCACAUAUGUUAGAUAGGACCCUGAUUGUAUGAUACGUAUCUACUUUGAAUGAUUGCUUGUUGUAUGACAACCCUUUCUCUUGAAUGAUUGUAUGAUUUCUUGUCUUUGUUCACUAUCUCACUUUAGAUCUUAGGUUUUUCUUAUGCACCCACAUCCUUCACUUUGCACUUUAUAUUUUCCUUGAGUGUUGAGAUAUGAGAGAGCCUUUACCAUUAAGAAACCCCCUGGGAAUGCGAGGAAAUGCAUGUGUGGAGGUGAUGACCACCUUGCAUGGAAGCAUCUCCUUUCCUUGGAGGUGUGCAGAGGGUUGCGUAUCGUCGGAGGGUACGAUCACUUUUGUUAGAGAUCCUUUAACCCACUCAUUUUAUCUUAUAGAGCCACCUCAACCUUUUAGGUUAGCUUAGACCUAAUUAAGAUUUCAUUCCCACACGUGGGUGCAUCUGUGAACCUUCAGAGCUGUCUUAGUUACAAUUUGGUUCGGUUACCCUCUCCAUAGUCUUAUUUUGGUAUGAUCAGAUACGAGUAUCAGUUUCAGCAUACAUGGGUUGUAUGCUUGAUUACCUUUAAGUCGGUUCCUACAGAGCUAUUCCUGUAUAGCGUCUCAUCUAGUGUUUCUGUGUUUAUAGGAGUAUUUUUGUGCCUAAUCUGGAUUCACCUUCGUGGACUAGAGUUAGAGGCAGGUUGACUAGAGCAUCUGAUCAGCCAGACCAAAGACUAGAUUAGAGAGAUAUGGACUCACAGGUAGUCACUAUUGCCCAGUUUGCCGUGGCCAUGACUUUGAUUCAGGAGGUUAUAGCCCGCCUCUCCUAGAGAAUAGAUGAGCAGUAGGCCCCGUCUCGGGAUAGUGCACAAUAUGACUCUACAACAUCACCACCCCCUCCACUCAAUCAGUCGGUUCCACACCCUGUACCGUAUGUUUUCAUAAUCAGACUGAUGCUACCCCACUUCCUGUCGUAGCACCCGUUCCGAUCUUAGAGAAUGCACAUGCUCAUAUGGAUAGAUUCGAGCAGAGAAUGAGACGGAUGAGGGUUUCAAAUGAAGCUAUCAGUUGGGAUGAUUUUGAUGAAGCACCAGUGGCCAGUUUACCGACCCAGUUCAGGAUGCCAGAUAUUGAGAGGUAUAUGGGCAUAGGUUGCCCUAAGAUUCAUUUGAGGCUAUACAGUAGUGUGAUGAGGGCCCAUGGGUUGGAUGAGGCCCACUUGAUCAUGCUUUUCCCCAUGUCGUUGAGUGGUGCAGCAUAGUGUUGGUUUGCUUCCUUAGAUGCCUCACACCGUAGGAAUUGGGAUGAUUUGACCCAAGAGUUUUUGAGACAGUUUGCAUUUAAUGUUGUCAUUGACGUCUCGAGGAGAGAGCUAGAGGUCUUGAGAUAGGGACCAGAGGAGUCAGUGACUUUGUUUAUCUCCCGAUGGAGGGAGAAGAUCACUCAGAUUAUUGAUCGUCCUUCAGAGAGAGACCAUAUUAGUGUGAUUUUGAGGAGUUUACAGCCCAGAUUCGCCAGACAUUUGAUGGGAUCUCCUCAUAUGGAUUUUGGAUCCUUGGUACAGGCUUUAUAUGGUAUAGAAGAGGGCACUGUUAGAGGAUUGUGGCCCGAGUCUUCCCCUCCUGACUCAAAAGGGAAGAAGCCCUCAAGAUGACAGAGACCAGAAGAUGUGGGUAAUAUUAGUUCAACAGGAUCGAGACCUCUCAGGUGUUAUCAGACAUUUGGGCAGACUUCAGGAGCGUAUUACCCAUAGUGUUAUGUUCAAUAUAGACUGCUCAGGCCCAUGGCUCCUACAUACCUACACCAGACCUUAGAUCUUGUUUUUGUUGCACAGGUUUCAAAGAGACCUCCUACUUUAUACCCUUGGCCCCGAGCCCCACAGACUGUUAUUCCUCUUGUAUAGAGAUAGACAUGACAGUUUUCCCAGCUAGGUAUGCCUUUGAGUCGAGUUUUCCAGAAGCUCAUGAAGGGUGGUUUGUUGACUCAGUUGGCUCUUAGACCUGUAUCCCAGCCCGUGCCACUAAGCUUCAGGAUGGAUCUGCAUUGUUCCUACCAUCAAGGUCCAAGGUGGCUUGUUUACUCAUUAAUCUUUUGUUUUUUGAAUCAUGUGGUUUUUCCUAUACGACUUAGACUCCAUGUCACUUAGGAGGUACCACUUUCUCCCUUUAUUUACAAUCAUUCUUGCCACAUUGAGGGCAAUGUUGAUCUUGGUUGGGGAGAGAGUAAAAGAAGGAAGUAUUGUUAAUAAUGCUAAGUUAUUUUGUUAAUUAAGUACUUUUUGCUUAAUUUAAAAAAAUGCUUAAUUUUAAAAGUUUUUACUCUACUCUCCAUGGUUAUUAAGGAAAAAUCCUCAAAAUGAAAUGGGAGAAAUUGAGUUAUUACCUUUUUACUUGAAUAUUAGAGUCGUAUUAUGUUUAUUGAAGUUGAUGAAUUAUUGAAACUCUUAUUGAUUUCAACCUUAUUUCUUCCACUUUAAGCGUACCACACACUAUGCACAUUAGGUUCCAUUUAUAAGAUGAAAAACUAUCUCACCACUUGAACUUAGGAAAAUUUAGACUUGGUACCUUUGACCUCAUUUUAAUAGUGUUGAGACACCUGAUAAAAGGCUAAUGAGCCUUUGAAAAAAAAAAGAAUAAAGUGUUUCGCUUGCCUUGAAACCCGAGCAAGGUCUGAGGGGUAUAUGGCGAAAGUCUUUAAAACCCGGUGGCCUAAGCCUUUAUUAGUUGGGAGUCACCGACCUCAAUGCUCGUCACAAAGGUGAAUAGGUGGAGUUUAACAUAUUGUAGGUGCUUGGGUAUUAAAUUUCAAUUUCAAAAGUCCGGGGUAAAAAUCUGAGGAGUUAGUGGUCGAAUGAUCCUUAAAGCUUGAUGCCCUAAACCUUGAUUGGUUGGGAGUCAUCGAUGGAUCCUCGUUACAUGGACACUUUAGAAAACAAUACCUUUAGCAUUGCACGCCUACAAGAAAAAAAAUUGUGAAAUAAAAGAGAUGCGUUCUUAGCCUAUUGGAAGUGGUCAGUUUGCUAAAGUCUGAGAAAGAACUAGGUUGGGGGAAGAGAUUAGUUCAGAGUACUAUAUUCGGAAACUAAUAAGCUUAACACAAAUUUUUGUGGAAGAGUAAUGAUUGAGCUUAGGAGAGUGAAAAUCCUCUCAUUACUUAAAUUUGUGUAAUACCUACUCUAUAUGAAUUAUGAUCAGGUAAGAUUUUUUAUAUCCUCUUGUUGAAUGAUGGGUUUUGCUUCUUUAAUAUUCCGUGUGAGAAUAUGCUUUACAAUCAUGCUACUUAUGAUUUUUUGGAGUGAUCAGCAUGAACUUGUAAAUUAUUUUACUGUCUUAUUUUUGUUUUUCUCUCAUUCAUUGCUAAGGGACUAGCAAUAUGUCGGUUGGGGGGAGUGAUUGCUACUCAAAAAGUGCUCUUUUGUAGCUUCUUAUAAACUCUUUUAAACACUUUUGAAUAGUAUUUAUUACCUUUUAACUCAAUUGGCACAUUAAGAACCCUUACAAGUGUUACUAAUUAGUUUUUGGCAAGUUUUGAUGUUUUUUAUAGCUUUUUUAUCAUUAAAACAAGCCAAUAAUGAGGGAAAACUUGGUAUAAUCCAUGGCAAAGCAAGAUUGAAGCUAAAUUACAUGAAAAAUUCAAGUUUUGGAGAGCUUUGAAGCCUUUGCCAAAUCAAUUAAGUAUGCAAGGAAGAGAAUCAGAGAAGAAAUCUAACACUGAAGAAUUUGGCAACCUCUUUUCACCAUUUGCGAAAUUUUUGCAAGCCAGAAGAAAUUUUCGCAACUCCUUUUCAACAUUGCAAAAAUUUCACAACUCUUUUUCAACCUUGCGAAAUUUUCACAACUCCAUAUCUAACUUGUGAAAUCUUCAUGUAAUCUUCAGAUAUUUGCGCACCGACUCAGUUAGAUUUUUACCUCAAGAUAUUUUGUGUAAUUAUCUAUUCUCUCCUUGUAAUCAGCUAAAUAUCUUUUUAGAUAUUUAGGAUAUCUAAUUGAGGGUUAAAAAUAUCUCUCUAUAUAUGUCUUAACAUAUCUCUUUUUGUAAUAUCUAUCUCAGAAUCUCAGAAGACAUUCUUGGGGAUCACUUAUACAUUUUUUAGUAAGAAAUAUAUAGAGCUUUGCUCUGCCUUACCUACUCACUUUGAUUGUAUUUUCUUUCUAGCCAAAAAAUCUCUGAGGAUGUUUUCUCAGAGGAUGAGUGGCUAGACUUUUUGUUUCUUGGACUGAAGGAAGCUAGGUAAGGGACCCGGAUACAAAAGUGGGAGUUUUUCUUGUUUCAAUUUUUAAUGAAGAGGAAGUUGUGACCCGGUAAUGGUUUUUAUAUUUUUAGUUAACUUAAAAUCCCUUAUAAUCACCCGGGCCAACACUUGGUAAGCUUUUCGGACUCAAUCCAUAGAGAUCCAUUAGUUAUCUCUUGCGAGCCUCUGGGAGGUGGUUUAAAGGUAGGAUUAUCUAGAAUAGCCAACACUUGGUAAGCUUUUGGACUCCCUGGAGACAUCCAUUAGUUAUCUCCUGCAAGUUUUUGAAGGGUAAUUCAAAGUUAAGGAUCACCCUGAAUGGCAAAUGCUAGGUCAAAGGUACGAGCCAUUGCAAGAUGCAUCAGUGAGAGGGAUUUAGCGUUGAAACCAUUAAUGGGAAGCAACUGUAACACACCGGUUGGGAGGAUAACUGUAGGUUAAAUCCUCAAUGCAAGGAAAAGAUCUGGAAUAUUCCAUUUUGUAUAAGGAACCUGAGCCUAGUGACCUGAAACUCCAAGAAACCUUUUCUUUAUAAUUAGUAUCAAUUACUAUUUUUUUGGUUAGCUUAAAACCAACAUUUUUCAACCAAAGAUUAUGUUUUGUUUUAAAGCUAACUCAUAAAAGAAAAAGCACCAAUCCAAUUCUUUAAACUAAUAUCAUGUGUGAAAUGAAAACUCAUCCUUGUGGACGAUCCUAGAACCACUAUACUAUGCUAGCUAUGCUACCCUAGUAUAUGGUGAAUUAGGUUUAUAAAUUUUGUUGAUAACUCCCGUCUAAGGACUUAAUCAAGAGUACACCAAUUGGGGACGAAUCAAUUCCCCAAUGACCAAUCUUAGGGCAACAUGUGGUCUUCCAAGAGCCUUCCACCUGGCAAAAAUGAUUUGCAAAAAUACACCCCAAAAUGGGGGUCUACAGUAUGACAUAAGUUAUAACACCCAUUUAAACCCUAAAUCAAUAUCUAAUAUCAAGUUGAGAGAACUUCAAUGAUUUCUACGAUUAUUUUUUGUUGGAUAUCUAAAGCAUGUAAUCAAAUGCUAUAAUAUAUAAUCAAUAUCUGAAGAGAAUAAGGAUAUAAAUAUACACAACAAUCAUAAGGUAUGACUACUAUUAAAAAAAAAAAAAAAUUAGUCGAUUCAAUGCAAGUAGAGAGUUAUGGAUUUCUUUUAAAAUGCAUGUGCAAAUGUGGAUAUCCAUGGUAUCAAAAGCACAAACAUAAAAAAACUAUCUUCAAACUCAUUCACUUUGUUCUUAGAAGCUUUGAAGGUUGCACUUUAUUUUUUGUUUGAAAAAUUUUGAUGGUAAAGAUUUCAAAUUUAUGUUUUAUCCUUUUCUCCAUCAUUUUUAUGUUUUAAAAAAAAUAAAAAAAUGGAUUGUUUUAAUUGAAAAUAAAAUAAAAUAAAAGGUUAAUCAUAUUUGAAUAAAGUAAAAAGUUCUCCAUGGUUGAAAAAACGUGAAGGUGUUACAACUACCAAAAAAUAGGUGUUGCAUGGUCCACAAUUGCAAUGGAAAAGAGAGAGAGAGAGAGAGAGAGAGGGACAGAGACAGAGAGAGAGAAUAGAGUGUUGCUUAGUGGAUGCUUGUUGGUUUGAAAAAUGGUAAUGUUGCAGUAGUGUUGCUAGAAAUGAAAAAAAAGGAAUAGGGCAAAAGCAAAAAGAAGAUAAAGUCUAUCUUUUCAUUUUUUUUCAAUUAUUCACUUUAUUAUUAUUAUUAUUAUUAUUUCUUCUUUCAAAAAUUAUUUUAUUUACAAAAUAAUUAUACUACAUGCAUGCGCAAAACCAAUAUACUACAUAUAAAAGGCACAUAUAAGAUAUUAUUUUUAUUUUAUUUAUUUAGAUUUUGGCCAUGGAGAAUCGUUUGAAAAAAAUGUAGUAAGAAUGUUGUAUUUAUUAGUGAAGAUAAUUUGGCAUUAAUAUUUUAGGCAUAAUCACUAACUUAAGGCCAAUGCUUUCUAGUUUUUUUUUUGUUUUUUUAUUUUAUAUAUAUAUUAAGGUUUUGCCUAGUAAAUAUGUUUUGAUUGUUUUGAUAUCUAGUUGAGUGGGAUGGAGGAAACACUUGCCUAUAGGCAAAGAUUAAAAUUUCAUAUUUUUCAGCAAAAUAUCGUUGAUAUAUCAAAUAUCAAUGGUGCCCGACAUAAUAUUAGGUACCAAUUAUCAAUCGAUGAGAAUUUCGAAAAAAUUUCGGUAAUAUCGAUGAUAUAUUGGUUUGGAGGUGAAAAUUUGAUGAAAGAAUCGAGCAUAGAGUGACACACGAAGCAACAAAGGAAGAUUGUUAAAAAAUCAUCGAUUUUUUCAAAAUGCCGGUGAUUUUUUCAAAAUUUUGGCGAUAGGCAAAUGCUCUCUCUCCAUAAGGUACAAUGCAUUUAAGGUAGUUAAUAAAAUUGUACGUAAGGAAACGCUUGGCUACUUGCAAGAAUCCUCUUCUGCUCUUUCUCCAUGUAUGAAAACUGUUUUCCCAACUGAACCAUUGAUGCAUUGUAUUUCCAUCUCUCAAAUCCAAAUCUGGGUGGGCAAGAGCAGCAACCAUUGUUGCAUAAGUUUUCAAAUGGUGGGAUUCACUUGGGUUCUACCUACAUUCUUUUUCAGAUGAAACAAGUCUCAUAUCCUAAAAUUCAAAACAUAGGUUGAAUUAUUACUAAGUUCAAAUGAUUCAAGAAAGAAAAACGUGUAAUUAGGAUUGCAUUGAGAUUUUAUCUUGUCAUAGUAUGAAAAUUGAAUAACCUCCAAAAGAAUGACACUUGACACUUAGAAAUGCAAGCACCAAUUGAGACAUGGUAGAAGUGAAGGCUCAAUUUAGAUCAUAAAAAAAUUAUAAGCACUGGGUAGAACUAAAAGACCGAGAUCACAUAUUAAAAGCUUAAUUUGAAACAUGGAAAGCAAAAAACCAAGGCUCACCCUGGAUUUGAAAUUUCUUCUUCUCACCAUUGUCUAAAUUUAUUUCUCUCAACAUUUGUUGAAUAUUUGAUUGAUAAUGUUCUCUAACUCCUUGAGGCCCUCAGACUCCUAUUAACACCACUUGCCCAUACCAAACCAAAGGGGGAAAAAACUCACAUCAUCUCAAAAACGGAACAAAAAAAAGAGAAUUAAAAUUAGUUUUGUGUUUUUUUUUUUAACUGAUGAGUCUUUAUAUGUAAUGCAUGACCUCAAAACCUUUUGAGAAUAGUGCAAGAGGUGAUUAACAAAAAAUGUUAGACUAGAAAUUGGAAUCACAUGUACCAAAAGUAAAAAAGAAUGGUCCACUAAAGGCAACAAUUUUGCUUUCAUUAAACACAAAAUUUCAUGACUAGGAUAUUUACCCAUGCAGAUACCAAUGAGCUGCACCAGACCUAAGAAAUUUUGCUUUCAUUUGCAUGCCAUCCUACAUGUAUAACAUAAAUUCCAUCAUUAUCAAAAGGUAAAGGCAAUCUUUUGAGUUGAGAAUGGUGAAAAUUGCUUUCUAUUAGAACUUACAAAUUAAAGUGCGGUAGGAAUGGCUUAUUUUGACCAAUAAGGACAAAGCUAAGGGCACAUUCCCGAUUCCAGAGUUUUUGGAUGCUAGAGAAGUUGGAGUGAUGAGACCAUGCAUAUAGCUAAUUGUUUUAGAGAGAUGUUAGUGUUUAGAGCCUAUAACUGCAGUUAAAAGCCAAAACUCCUAAUCAAAUUUUAAUCAGUGAGGAAUUCAAAAGUAGAUAAGUCAAUAAUAAAAGUAUUCUCCUCACAAUCACUAACCACAAAAUGACAGUCCCUUCAAAGGAAAAGAUUUUUGAGCAUGAUGAGUCUCAACUCUACAAGAGAUAUGAGAUGAUCAUGCAGCCUUUUCUAUUGCCUUUUCAGGUUACUGUGAUUAAAAGGCUUUCACAUUUGCUGCGGGUUCACGAAAUUGGGCUGCAUGAUUGAACUUUUUACUGUUGUACAAUGCUAUCUAUCUCAGGGUGGGUUGUUGGCAAUUUCAUGAAACCCUUGGAGCUUCUUUUAGAAAUAAUAGAAUCCUUGAGGUAAAAAAGGACAAGAAAAGACUAGAACAUAUUUAAACAAAAUAAUAAUUAGUGAGUAGAAUCUUUGGUGCAAGAUUACAAAGAAUUGGGGUGCCUGGUUGAACUUGUUAUUGUAAUACAAUGUCAUAUGUUCCCAUGUAGGGGAUGUGGGCAAUCUUGGGCUAAUAUUUUCCUUUGCUCUUGAGGCACCUUUGUUUUAGAAUAGGACAUGUCCCCAUUACAACUCUUACAAGUGUUAGUGGCAGCCCUUCCUUUGGCACAAAGGACGAGAGUUUAGGCAGUUAUAGAGUUCAAGGAUUUUAAAAGAGAUGAGUCUUUGGAGAUCCAUGGAAUGGACUUUAGAGAUGAACAUCCCCAUACCUCUAUUCAUUCAAGACAACAAGUGUUAUUGUUGUCCAUUAAAGCAUGGUGCUUAGUUCCCUUGGAUGAACAUCCCCAGUUUAUGACAAUCUUCAAUUAACAACCACUUAAGGGUGGUCGGUAGCUCACCUUUUGGAGGGCAAAAAACUAUUGUAUGAACCUCAUCCACAUCUUCAACACCUGAAGACUAGCUGUGUGUGUGUGUGUGUGUGUUGAAUAUAUAUACUGAAGUACUAAAUGAAGAGCCCUAAGAAUAUAACUAUUUUCCAUGUAUAUAGACAAAGAACAUGAAGGUGCAGCCAAACACAUGACAAGGAAUGGAAAAGUAGGAAGGGAGUAAAAAAGGCUUUAGAGUCAAAGGAAUGUUGGAGAUGUUACAUGGGCAGACCUACUUCAUUCUACCUCCACUAAAAUUCUUCUCAUUGUUAUCAAGUCCUAAAGUAUACAAUUGUCCUGUUAUUCAAUAAAUUUUGGCUUGUGGUGGUCUAUGGCUUUGAAAGUUGGACUAGGACCUUAGGAGAACACUUUUGUUAUUGUGGCAUAGAGAUGAUAGAUAUCCAGAUGGAAAUUUUCAAAAAAUGAAUCUGCAAUAUGGAAACUACAAGUGUGUCCAAAGUUGUUCUACAUGUUUCAUUAAGACAAGAAAUUAUUCUGGGUAUCACACCAGGUGGCAUGUUGGCAAAGCAGAAAUCCAUACUUAAUAGAUUAUGCUAUUCAUAACUUUGACCAUCCCUUAGCAAAUUUUGCUCUUGCCAAAGCAAGAGUCCAUACUUGACUCUUUGUAAGGGUUAUCAUUUUAGUUUCUUUAACUCUUCCCUCUUUUUAAGCUCCUCAUGGUGUGGAAAGGAUCCACUCUUCCCUCUCAACGUUAGGUAAUUUCCUUCCUUUGGAUAAGUUAUUUCACCUCUUUAUCAAAUCACUCUUCAAUAAAUUCAUCUGAAUAUUUUUAAAUUCUGCAAUCUUAACAUUACCAUUACAAAUAUUCUUACAAUUCACCAAUAUCUUGCCAGGAGUCUUUGAGAGCCAUUUCUUGAGAGUCAUGAGGUUCAAUAUAAAGAGGAAAAAAAAUGAAAGAAAUAAGAAUAAAAAAUAAAAAAUACGAAGAAAAGAAAAGGCGAGAAGCAGAGGGAGGGCAUUGUUCAAUCUCAUUUCUUGCACCUAGACCAAAGCACAUAGCGAGGUAUUAAUUGUUGAUUGAACCAAUAAUUGCCCUCUCUUCUUUACUUUCAACGACUAACUUACAAAGACCUAACUACCACCUGCAUGUCAUUAGGGGAUUUUAUCUUCAAUUUAUAUUAUGUUAAUAUAAAUCUGAAAGAACACAUUUGAAAUCAAUAAAAGUGAGAAGAGAGAUAAUGAGAAAAAGAACAACCUGGGAUAUAUUCCCUUUCUGUGCAUCCUGAACCACUUGACAUACCAAUUGCUAGUAGAAAGGGUACUAUCUAGGCCAACAACAAUUACAAUGUCAUGUAAUUAGUCAAAAAAGUUGAAGUGGCAUAAGCAGAAAGAAAAAAGAUAGAAAGUUAAACACAACCCGAUGAAAUACAAUGUUCAGUUUCAAAGUUUGAGAAAGUUAUACCUCUCCCAUUUUUGCAAUACAUAUUUCCAAGCAAAUGCCAGAAUCCUAGAAAACCUAGGCAUUGAAUAAGGGAGCAUUCCUGUGUGAUUAAAGUACAAAACAAAAUCAAAUAAAAGGGCUUCAUUAACAUAAUGAGAUUCAAAUUUAGAUUGGAAUGAAACAGAAAUAAAACAAAAUCAUGAAUACCUUUUAGUAAGUAAUGGUGAUUGAAAUAGUAUACUGGCUUUAAGCAAAAUGGAGUACCAGCUUCAGGGCCCAUUGUUGUGGGUUAGUUCUACAAGUUGACCAAGCUGCCCAUCCCUUAGUAGGAAGUGAAGUUGGUGCCAAAUUUGAUAGGGCCUUAAAACUUCCUUUGGACCUGAUUAACAGAAAAUUUACACAUGAAACUGGAAUCACAUGUAAACCCCAAAAUUAAAAAAGAAAGGUGCAUCUAAUACAUCUCCUUUCAUGUGUAGGGUAUUUUGUAUUUACCCUUGCAGAUACAAAUGGCAGGGAAUUUUACUUUCAUCUUUACAUCAAUCCCUUUUCCUGCAAUCCUAUAUGUGCAACAUAAAUUCCACCAAAAUUAUUAGAAAAUGAAAGCAAUAUGUUGAGUUGAAAAUCGUGAAAUUGUGUUCUAUCAGAACUUACAAUUCAAUGCAUUAAUAUGCACCUCUAUUUUGGAAGAGGGCAGUGCCAAAUACCCAGUUAUUAAACUAAGGUAGGAAGGCCUGUCAUCCUAAAAGCAAGGAAAAAGCUAAGGGUACACAUUCAUGAGAGUCGAGGUUUUGAGCACAAAACAUUGUAGCUUAUUGUUGACCAUGGCAAACCCCUGAUUACAGAACAAAAGGGAGGCUCAAAUAUUAUAGAGACGGUAGCAAUUAGAAUGUCGAACUUUUGAUGGAAGAUAAUAGAGAAUUGGGAGUACCUGAUUGAAGUUGUUAUUUGUUUUUUAAUUGUUGUACAAUGCCAUCUAUUUGCACGUAGGGGAUGUGGGCAAUCUUAGGCCAAUCUUUUCCUUUGUCCUUGAGGCACCUCUCUUUUAGAAAGGGACAUUCCCUGAUUACAAGUCUUGCAAGUGCUGCUGGCAGCCCUUCAUUUGGCACAAAGAACCGGAGCUUAGGGCAAAUGUGGAAUUCAAGGGUUUUAAGAGAGAUGAGGCUUUGGAGACUCGUGGAGGCUAUGGAUUUCAAAUUGCGGAGAUUUCCCAACUGGAGAGUGGUGAGAGAUGUAGGAAGAAGAAGGUGAGAGCCAGAAAAAGAAAGCAGAUCUCGGAAUGGGCCUUGAAUAAAUAGCUCACCAAGAGAGGUGAGUGUGUCGAGACCCCACCCAGAUGGAGGCCACCUCAUAUUCUCACAAUCUGAAAUAGAAAGUUGUUUAAGGUUGGGGUUCAAAAACGCUUCUGGAGAGGACACCACAUCUGGACAAUUACAUAUGUUCAGAAGUCGAAGAGAUGUGAGAUUUUGCAGUAGAUUCCCUGGAAUCGACUCCAAUUGCUCGCAGUCCCAAAUGGAAAGUAUCUCAAGUGUGGAGGGAAAGUAGCCUCUUGGAAUGGACUUGAGAGAUGGACAUCCCCAUACAUGUAGCCAUUCAAGUCGACAAGUGUUGUUGCUGUCAAUUCCCUCAAGUAGAGACUCUAGUCUCCAACAAUCUUCAAUCGUCAACUUCUUAAGGGUGGCGGGUAGCUCACCUUUUGGCAAUUCAAUAAAAGAUGGGCACUCUUUAAUUUCCACGUACUCAAGUAUACAACUGUUCAUCAUCAUUCCAUCAGGCAGUGUCUCCAGAACCCUGCAAUUUCUCACCCCAAGACGUCUUAGCAUAGGCGGCAAACCUGUCUCUAGGAAUGAUAGGAGUUUUGGGCAAUUAUGAAUUAGCAAAUCUGUAAGAGAUGUGAGGGUGUGUAAUGCGUUAGGCAGCUUAUCUAAGUUGUAACAUCCAUUCACUUCCCAGUAUUGAAGAUUGCAAGGCAGCCCCUGCUCUUCCAAGGAUACAACCCCAUGACACCCUUUGAUCCAUGAAUGUCGCAGACCACCAAGGUUUUCCAGUUCAAAUCCAGGCUUCCUCAAACAUGCCAGUUCAUCACAUUCAGCAAUUCCCAGAUCUUCAAUGGCUAUUAAGCUCCGUGCAAGCCUUUCCCAUAAACAACUCAGGCUUGAAAUCUUCUAAACGUAUAAUUAGGUGAGUGAGGGGACAUCAACAACCCAACUACUAUUAAUUUAAUAAGAAGUGGAAGUCGUGGAAUUGAAAUUUCCGAUUCUUGGCAUGCUUGAACAUGAAGCGUCACAAGGGAAUGUAACUCAUGAGAUAAGUUGAUGAGUUUUGGACAUUUUAUUAUUAUAAGCUCACGGAGGCAAGGAAACAAUGCUUAGGUUUCCUCAUGACCCAAUUUAGGAAUUAACCAAUCUUUCCAUUGGGGCAUUUUCUCAAAUCUCAGAUGUUCUAAAGCCCGAAAAGGAUUUGCAGUCUCCCCAUAGAACUCAUCGCCUAUGAGUUGAACUUCAUUCAUGCCUUCAAUCACCAAGUUUUUGAGGAAAGGUAGUCCCCCUAGUGCUGGCAAAGAUGUGCAAUUUUUACAAUUUAUAAGAUCCAGAUACACCAUUUUGGAGAAGGAUGGAUCUCCUAUCCAAUUUGGGAAUUUUGAGCCACCAUAAAAUCUAAUAUCCAAUUUUUUCAAACUUUGAUGAGGUCAACCACUUAAGGACCUCUAUCUCGGUGCUUUCAUUCCUUGAAUUGCCAUACUUUUCACUCCAUACCAUGAUUAAGUCUUCAAUAUUCCGUCCCUCCUUCAAAUUGACAUACCUUGCAUCUCUUGGAUCCAAAAUAUUCUCCAACCCUGAAAUGCUAAGCUCUCCUUGGAGAUUCAACAAGUUCUUCAAUUCUUUUAUUUGUGACCCAUUACCCUUGCUUAGAAAAUACCUAUUCAACGUUUGCAAAUUUAUCAACUUGCCAACUUGUGGAGGCAUCUUUUUCAACAUAGUUGAACCUCUAAUAUCAAGAUGGCGAAGAUUAAUUAAAUUUAUGAUGCUCAUAGGUAAAUUAAUAAUUUGCACACAAUUGCAUAAUAUCAAUGAUUGUAAGUUGUAAAGACCACUCACUGUUUUAGGUAACUGUUUAAUUUUUGUAGAAGACAGAUUAAGAAAUCGUAAAUGUUUCAAAUCACCAAUCGAAUCCGGUAACUCAUUUAUUUCAUAACCACUCAAAGAGAGCACCCUCAAUUGUCUCAACUUUGGCAACAAGCCUUGAAGCACCUUAUUACUUAAGUAUCAUUUCUUCUUAUUAUCUAGUGUGAUGGGUAGUGCAACAAAUGUUCGUAAUUGCUCUAGUUUAUUGAGGACUUCAAAUUUUUUGAACAGAUCAUACUCACCACGCACGAAUGAUAAAUGAUGAGUCCUUUGAGAGACCUUAUGUAUAUUCUCGAAAUUGAAACAUAUUUCUGUAGCAACUUCUUGAGCAAGAUCAUUAAUCAAGUCAUGUAUUAUGAAUUUGGAUUUACUAUCACUUGAUGGUUGGAAAAAGCAUCUUGAUAACAAUUCAUUAAAAUAAUCAGCACCUAUAUCUUCUUCCAUUUGACAGUUAUCUUCUUCUACUUGGUGAAUUAAAUCCUCUGCCAUCCACAAUAAAAUUAGCUCUUUUUGCUUAAAUCCAUAGUCCUUUGAAAACAAUGCACAAUAAGCAAAACAUCUUUUUAGAUGUGAAGGGAGAUGUUGAUAGCUUAAUCUUAGCACUGGAAAAAAACCACUCUUAUUCCAAAUUUUUCUACUCAAUACACGUUCCCAUCGAUCUUGUGGUUCGAAGUGUAGAAGCCCACCAAGCAUCUUUGCUGCUAAGGGUAGGCCACUACAUUUCUCUAUGAUCCUUUGUUGAAUUAAUUCCAAAUUUGGAUGUUCAUUGGCAUUCGUGUUUUCAAAUGCAUGUUUCACAAAUACAUUCCAACAAUCAAAGAUGUCUGCUCUCAUCAAAGAUGCAACAUUCCCAUGACAUGUUGUUACUGCAAUUUUACUUCCUCUAGUUCCGAACUUAAAGGGAGUCUGUAAGUGAUUCCAUUGCUCAUAAUUGUUGAUGUUCCACACAUCGUUCAAAACUAGCAAAAACCUUUUUCCAGCCAGAUUAUUGCUUAACUUGAGCUGCACUUGAUUAAAGUUAUCCCCAUCACGGACUUCAUUCGGAGAGACGACAUUGAAAAUUAUCUUCGUUAACUUCUCUACAUCGCUCUCAUCUGAUACACACACCCACACCCUUGGCUCAAAAUGCUUCACUAUUUCUUCAUCCUUGUAUAUCAACUGGGCUAGUGUAGUUUUCCUCAUCCCACCUAAACCUACAAUGGGAAUUACCCUAAAGUUGCUUUCACCUGCUUCAUCCUUCAACAACAUCUCAAUAAUGACUUCUUUAUCUUUAUCCCUGCCGUGAACUACUUCAUUAAUCAAAGAUGUAGAAGGGGGUCGUUGCCAAGUAGAAGCUUCUCUAGAUGCAAAAUUUCCCCAACUUGUUUCUGCUGAAAAAUUUAAACCAUAACCAGGAUCUCAUGAAAGACAUUAAAGUAUAUAAUAAAAAUUAGGAAUUAAGAAAAGUUGACCUUGAUUAAUCCCAUAGAAAGCCAUUCUUGUGUUCUUUUGAUGUUCAAGGAUGCGUUCAAUUCGUGGAGGAGAGAAACCCUGGGUUCAAUUGGCUCUUCCCUUUCAACAUCCAAAACAAUUGUGUGCUCUGAAGAGUUCGUUCAUGCAGUACGUUCUCUACUCAGUCCCAAAGAGAAAAACAGAACAUAAUAGGAUAGCCACACUGCCUUGUUCCCUUAUAUAUAUAUAUAUAUAUAUAUAUAUAUAUAUAUAUAUCACACAUACACAGUUUGGACCACUUGACUUAAUGGGCCAGUCAAGUGAAUUAGGGUGAGCCCAUAGAAAUCAAGCAAUAAUGUGUUCAGCCCCAUUAUGGACCACAAUACAAAAAUUAAAUUAACACUAAUUUAUGACAUUAUCAAAUUGAUUAUGUUAGUCCACACAUAAAAAAAUCCAACAAUUCUCCCACUUGGACUACAUAAUCAAACAUCACAACAUAUACAUAAUCAUAAAUCAAUAUCCCAUAGAAUCUCAUCAAAAACAAAUAAUCAAAAGCAAUCAUAUAUGCUUCAUUGCUUGAUUCACAGGGAAAUAUACAAUAAUAGAAAUCCUUCCAACAAUAGCAUAAUAUUACAAUACUAGAAGUGGCUCCCACUAACUUAAUACAACCUAGGCUUCCAACAACCCCAUUUGAGAUACAUGUUCUUGAAACACAACUAUGGGUAAGCUUUUUGUUAGUGGAUCCGCCAACAUACCUUUUGUGGACAUGUGUUCAAUAUUGACUCCCAAUGUUGACUCCCAAGAUUGCUCAAGUACCUUCCUAACAUGCCCACAACAAAAGCAAUAUCAGGGCGUGUACAUACUUGAGCAUACAUAAGGCUACCAACCAAAAAUGAAUAAGGAAUAGUUCUCAUUUCCUCUCUCUCAUCAUCAUUUUGAAGACACUAAGCCUUUGAAAACUUAUCACCCCUUACAAUUGGCGCUUUAGAAGAACUACAAUUGUGCAUAUUAAAUCUCUUCUAUAUCUUCUCAAUAUAGGUUCUUUGAGAUAAUUUAAGCACCCCAUUAGCCCUAUCACGAAGAAUCUUUAUGCCCAAAACAUAAGAAGCCUCACCAAGAUCCUUCAUGUCAAAAUGGGUUGACAACAUGUCCUUUUCUCAAUCAACAAGUCAGAAUCAUUUGAUGCGAGUAGUAUAUUAUCAACAUAUAAAACAAGAAAUAUGUAACUACUCCCACUGACCCUCAAAUAUAUGCAUCUGUCAACUGUAUUCUCUUUAAAACCAUUUUGGGUGUUAAUCUUAUCAAACUUCAGAUACAACUGCCUUGAAGCCUGUUUAAGACCAUAAAUUGACUUAUUGAGCUUGCAAACUAAGUGUUCCUUUCCAACUUCUGUAAAACCAGUAGGCUGCUCCAUAUACACGUCCUCAUGCAGAUCACCAUUCAAGAAAGUUGUCUUAACAUCCAUCUAAUGUAGCUCCAAAUAAAAAUGAGCCACUAUGCCAUAAUAACUCGAAAAGAGUCCUUGGUCGACACAGGUGAGAAGGAUUCUUUAAAAUCAAUGCCUUCUCUUUGGCUAUAACCUUCAACCACAAGUCUAGCUUUAUAUCUCUCUAUUCACCCGCUAGAAUCAUGUUUGGUCUUAAAGACCCACUUAUACCCAACUGGUUUACAACCAUGUGGCAAUUCGACCAAAUCCCAAACACCAUUCAUAUACAUAGAAUUCAUUUCAUCAUCUGUGGCUUCUUUCCAAUAAGUGAAUUGAAGACAAUGAAUUACGUUUUGAUAAGUGAUUGGAUCAGAAGCAUCAUAACCAUCAUACUCAUGCUCCUGCAAAUAAAUCAUGUAGUCAUCUGAAAUAGCUGGCCUACAAACCCUUUGUGAUCUUCUCAAAGGAAUCCCAUCAACAACAGUAUCAUCAACAGGAAUGCCAAGUUCCACUUGAUCACCAUGCUCUCCUUGAUUAGUGGUUGGUUGUUGGACAAUAAGACAUCCACAUUUGGAACAUGAGAUAUAGGAAAAGGAAUCACAACAUGGUCUUCUCCAAAAGGUAUCUCAUGAGGCACAAAAUUUGGAUCAACAUUAACUUCAUCCUCAAAGUAUACAACCCUGUCUGACUCAAUGAUCCUGGUGGUAUGAGAUGGGCAAUAAAAUCUAGAACCCCUUGAUCCAAUGCAAUAACCAACAAAGAAACCACUAAUGGUUUUAGGAUCAAGUUUCUUUUAUUGUGGGUUAUAUGGUCUAACCUCAGCUUUACAUCCCCAAACAUGGAAAUGAUGAAGACUCGGUUUCCUCCCUAACCAUAGCUCAUAAGGUGUCUUAGGCACAGACUUACUGGGCACUUGAUUCAAAAUAUAUGACGCAAUCCUUAAGGCUUCACCCCACAAAAAUUCUGGUAAGGAGGAAUUAGACAACAUGCAUCUCACUGUAUCCAACAAUGUGUGAUUCCUCCUUUCUACAACCCCAUUAUGUUGGGGAGUACUUGGCAUUGUAUAUCUAGCAUCAAUGUCGCAUUCCAACAGAAACUUAGCGAAUGGUCCAGGAUUCCGUCCAAUCUCAUCAUAUCUCCCAUAAUACUCACCACAUCUAUCAGACUUCACAGCUUUAAUAGGCUUUCCCAACUGCAACUCCACCUUAGCCUUAAAGGCCUUAAACACAUUUAGGGAGUCAGAUCUCUCAUGGAUUAGUUCAACAUAACCAUAUCUAGAGAAAUCAUCAAUAAAAGUGAUAAAAUAUUUAUAACCCCUUAGAGUAGUUGGUGUCAAAGGACCACAUAUAUCUAUGUGGAUCAAGUUUAAAGUACUUCGACACCUAUCAAUCUUCUCCUUUCUGGUCUUAGUUGUCAUAUUCCCCUUUAAGCAAACAACACAAGUCUUGAAGUCCGAGAAAUCAAGAUUAGAAAGCACAUCAUCUCUAACUAAUCUCUCUAAUCUCUGCCUAGAAAUAUGACCUAGGCGUUUGUGCCACAACAUAGAAGAACCUAAAUUCAUUCUAGCACGCUUGUUACCAACAAUAGAAUUAACAGAAGAUGAAUCACACAAAGGACCAUGAUGCAGACUGAGAUUGUAAAGAUUGCCAAACAAAACACCAUUGCCAAUUAAAACCAGUCACUAAAAAUAUCCACUUUUCCACCUCCAAAGUGAAAAGAAUAACCACGUCUAUCCAAAACAGAUACAAAAAUCAAAUUCCUCCUAAGUGAGGGUAUGUAAGCAACAUCGUGUAACAGUAAAAAACUUUUGGUGGCCAAUCUCAGUUUAAUCAUGCCAAAAAAUUCUACUUUCACUUUGCUUCCAUUGCCCAUGCACACAAAUUCUUCAUGCUUUGAUGGCCUCCUUUUCUUUGUCAUCUCCUGCAAAGAAUUAGUAACAUAAAUAGUGGCACCAGUAUCUAACCACCAAGAAUUGACAUGAACAUCAACAAUAUUAGUCUCAAUCAUGUUUGCAUUCAAAUCAACCAUAACCACAAUUUUACCUUUCUUCUUCUCUAACCAAUUUUUAAGCUUGAAGUAAUCAACCCGCUUAUGCCCAACCUUAUGACAAAAGUUGCACUUCCACUUGAAUUUCUCAUUCUUUGUACCAUUAGAUGAAGCAGAUCCACUAGGGGCUCCUUGACUCGAAUUCCCUCUUCUCUUGAAUUGCUUAGAGCCUCAAGAAUUCUUGUGUUAAGGUUUUUUCUUCAUACUGUUCCCAUGGUUAGUAACAAGAGCAAUGGAGUGAGUCUCAUUUUACUUCAGUCAGACUUCAUGUUGCACCACAAUGGACAUCAACUCCUCCGAAGUCCAUUCUUCCUUCAAGGCAUUAUAAGUAAACUUCACUGCAUCAAAGGAAGUAAGAAGAGACUCAAGUAUCAGCCAUUUCAGGAAUUUCUCACUCAACUCCACUUUCAUCUCAUUUGCCUUGUUGAAAGUGUUUUAGUUUGAUAAUGUGAUCUCUAACCCCACUUACUCCAUCAGUUUCAACACCCGGGACCAUAUCAAAACCCAGCUCAGCUUUCCAGGUUGAACUAUCGCCUAACCACCUAGUGAUUUCCUUGAUCUUGGUCCCCAUCUCAAUAUUAAACUUAACUUCAUCAACCGGAUUGAAACCAGUAAAGCAAGUCGGGAUGAGGCUCCGUACCUUACUUGUGGUGGCCACCUGAUCAGCACCUUCUGACAUCAACCUGCGUCGCAACAGCUCGGUCGCGAACUCNNNNNNNNNNNNNNNNNNNNNNNNNNNNNNNNNNNNNNNNNNNNNNNNNNNNNNNNNNNNNNNNNNNNNNNNNNNNNNNNNNNNNNNNNNNNNNNNNNNNAGAUUGUCAAGCCAGUUUUUCACGAACGGCUUUGUUGUCUGCUUCUCCUCAGCUUCUUCCAGCACUUCAUUAUCAUCAGUUUCUCCUUCCAGUUUUCAAGUUCAACAAUGACCCCCUCUUGGCGAGCAAAGUUGAGCAACUCAGGGAAAACCAACUUACCGAACAGAACUUAGAGGGCAGCAGAAAAAAUAGACUCUCCAACAACCUCCAUCGGCUAGUUCUUUCCAGAAAUCGAAGGGCAGGCAGUGGAGACAAAAGAAACAAGCGAGAUUGAAAAUUUUAUCAGCGCAGACGUGAGCAACUGGUGUAGAUUGCAAUGGUGGUUGCUGGGUUAACAAGGUUUGGAAAAGGAAAGCGUGGCAGAGAGAGGGGCACAUGGGCUGCACUGAUCUGUGCUUGGAAAAUAUGUAAACUAAUACAAAUUUUAAUGGAGAAGUUGGGAUAAAACCUCGUAAAAUAAAAUUAUUUAAACAUGGAAACAUAUGUUGUUUGAUAUAAAAAGAUCAAUUAUGCAACUCCAUGUUAUAUCAUAGCCAAUUGUAUGUGAGGGUUUAAAAAAUAAUGUGAAGAAUUGACCAAGAGGUGUGGAUUGCUGUGGUGGUUGAUGUGGUGUGUGCUGCCAUUCAAUUACUGGAGAGAGAGUAUGAUACACACUGCUCUAUGUUUAGAAAAUCCUAAGGGCAAUUAUGCAACCAUAUGGGUUUAAAAAAAUGUAUUAUUUUAAAGAAGGCAAUCCUUGUCUUUUAUACCAGCUACAUCAUGUAGAAAUAGUCUCUCAAAUAAGCACUUCAAGGGUGUUAAAAUAAGAAUUCCAUAUUUGCCCAUACUCCUCCUGCCACAUAAGCAAUUCGAUGUGGGAUUGCCGUCAAAUGCCACGUAAUCAAAACACUUGGACUUUAAAAAAAAAAAAAAUGAAAAAUGAAUUUCCGCACAUUUCCUCAUGUCUCCUUCAUAACUUUUCUCAAAAACAAUGCCCUAACAAAGGAAAAAAGUCAAGCUCUUUGUAUAUGACCUUAAUUCUUUCUUCAAGCUUUUUUGCUCUAUGAUUAUCAUUGUUCCCUUUCAAGAAGGCUUCAAUAAAAAAUCUGGUUUCCUUUUAUAUAAGUGUUCACACUAUCCUAUAGGAUAAGUGUUUGAUUUUGUUGUUCUUAUGUUUUGUGGUUUUUAUUACAAUUUGAGGGAUACCAAUGUAAGGUAAUCACUUUACAAAAAAGGUGAAUAGUAAUAGUCACUUUUUACAAAUUUAAAUUUAGAAAGUAAGUGAUAUUGCAAGUACGUGGAGAAAACACAAAUGCAAGUACUAGUUUUUAUGAAUGGUUCGGCACAAGUCCGCCUACCAAUCCUCAAUCAAUUGAGUGAACAAUAACCAAUUCAACCAAUUGAGUCACUUCAAUCAAGCAUAUGCAAAAUAUGGAAAAUUGAUACAUAAAUGACUUUUAAUGACUCAAAUUAUUUUAAUAAGAAAACAUAAUAUUGAAAAAAGUACCCAUUUAAAUGAUGAAAUAUAUGUCAAAAUAUGAGUUUUUAUCCUUGAAAUAAUCAAUUUUAAUUUUGACAUGUAAAAAUCAUUGAAAUAUGCAUAAAUGAAUUCUAUAAUUUUCACAAAAUUCUUAGGAAAACCUAGGUAGAUAAACUCCUUUUCAUUUUAAAGACCUUUUAAACUAUGAAUAGUACUAAAUAGAGUUGGUUUUCAUUUAGAAAGAUUCUUCAUUACUUUAUAAAAGAAUAAAGUCGAUUUAGAAAAUUGGAUGAUUUUAGGUCCUUAAAUAAAAAUAAAAUGCACUUUGAACCUAGUGCAUCAACAAUUUCAUAAAAGGAUUCUAGACAUGAGUCUUGCUUGAUUUCCUCUUUAAGGUCUUCUCUUUUUUCUUGAUUUCACUUUAUUAUGUUGUUGUGAUUGGUUCUUUGGAAAUUCUCUUACUAAAAAACACUUAAAAUAAAUUAUUAGUUUCAAACCUUGUUUUGUUAUUAACAAAACCAAAAUUGGUCAAACUUUUGUUUCACAUUCUCUUUGCCAUGCAUAUUUCUUUAAAAAAUAGAAUCAUUGAGCUUCUUAGUGUGUUUGGUCAAUGAGGAACAUUUGCUUAUGUUUUUGUUCCACUUCAUAAUAUUAGAAAUUUCUUUUACUCAUGUUUUCUAUUUUUUAAUUUCACUUAUUCAUUUAUUGGCAACAUCCAAUUUUAGCUAUAGAAAAUUUUGUUAAGUUAUUUUUGUGGAUGAAGAGCAUUUGACACAAUUCCAAUUUUAGAUCUUCACAUUUUAUGGUUUUCAAAUCAUAUUUAUGAUGGACAGUGGCAAGGUAAAAUUGUAGAACAUGCAUUAAAAUGAUGCCCAAGGUAGCAAAAAGAGGGGCCAAGUACCCAUGGAUGGAGAGGUUGCCUUAUCCCCUUCUACGUUGUCCUAUUUUAAUGUUGGUAGUAGCUAAUAUAGGAGUCGACCUUUGAUUAGAGAGGUUGACCUUGAUUAGAUAGGUUGGUAUGGACCUCACAUCUUUUGCAUGCGUCCCCAUUCUAUGGUGAGACUUAUUUUUUAUUGUGAAAAUUUUUAUUUUUUGAAAAUUAUUUUUGGAGACACCAUUUAUUUAUCUUUUUUAAAGGGAAAAACAAAAUAAUAAAGAAAAACUCUAAGUAUGACUUAUGAAGGAAAAAACAAGUCUGAGAAAAAUUGAGUUGAGGUCUAAGGAUUAGGUUACCUAUCGAGAAAGUACUGUAAUAGACCGUAACACUCAUCUAAACCCUAAAAAUUAGGUUUCUACUAAUCAGUUAAGACAAGUGUGACAAAUGAUUAGUUAAUUGUGGAUACCAAAGAUCAUAUAGAAUGAAAGCAAAUCAUGCACAAGAAUGAAUAAAUAAUUAAGAUGGAGAUGGGAGCAUACUUGAGUGGCGAAUCAAUAGUGUUUUCAUGAAAAACAUGGUUAACUCGAUAAUGACAAGCACAAAAUAUCUCACGCAAAUCACAAAGGAAGGCAAAAAUAAAUUAAUAUUGAAUAAAUAUAGCAAUCAAAAUCAACAAACGAAUGGCGAAUGUCUCAUGUGUUGGGCCCCACCAAUGAUCGAUUUAUUUUUGCAUGAAUUAAUUCCAUAUAUUUCUUUACUUUUAAAUUAUAAAAUUGUAUUCAUGCUUAUUAAAAACAUGAAAAUCGGAAAAAAAGUUCAAAAUCAAAGAAAAUUUGUAAAAGGUGCUUGUCGGGAAAAAAAAAAAAAAAAAAAAAAAAAAAAGCAGCUAGUUUAUCAAAACUGAAUUUUAUUUUCUAGUAUCUCCAAAGGAUGAAAUUUAAAAAACUGAGAUUAUUUGAAUAGAAAAAAAGAAAGUUUGAAAACCAAUUCAAAACAUAUAAGAUCACAAAGAAAAAUAAAAGAAAAGCAGCAAGAGGAAAAGGUGGCCAUGUAAUGCAGGAGUUGGAAAAAUGGGCCCCGGGGAGGCUUAGAUGACUAUUCUGUUGGUGUGGAUGACUGACAUGGCACUGGUGUACUAAUACAAGAUCAGAAGUUGGCAUUUGUUUGUACAGUUGAAGACUUAGGCUUUACUGAUUUUGAUGUCACUCUGCUGGGUUGCCCAGGUAGCCUAAAUCCUUGCAAAUGCCAUUUCCUUCCNNNNNNNNNNNNNNNNNNNNNNNNNNNNNNNNNNNNNNNNNNNNNNNNNNNNNNNNNNNNNNNNNNNNNNNNNNNNNNNNNNNNNNNNNNNNNNNNNNNNUUCCUUCCAUAGGUAAUGCAUCAUCCAUUAGUUUGAGCGUGGCUGAGUUUGUCCACCUUGAAAUGACACUUCCCAAGUCCAAAGUGAGGCAAACUUUACGACAACGAUUAUUCCAACCUGAACCAGUUGUGCAAUACAUCUCAUAAGUGUGGCUAUCACAUCCAGCCAGAAAAGAAGAUGUUCCCCUGGCAAUGCAAGUCACACUGAUCCCAUAAGAUGAUAUUGAAUAUUCUAACCCGAUAACUAAUAUAAGUCAUUCCUCCAAUUAUGAAAUAGUUCACUACAACCUUAGAAGGAUUGUGUAAGUUAUAAACUAUGAACAAUUCAUCAACUUAUAAGAAAUUUAUGAUUUGGAUCUUCCGUGAAACUUCUAAUGUUCUUAAGUCAUGUAUAAUGUAAGCUCGAAUGCUCAAACAAGUAUUAAUACAUAUGAGAAUAUAAUAGUGAAAACUAAAAUAUGAUUUGUUACAUGAUGUCAUGAUUGUUUUGGGUUGUAUCCCCGACAAACAAGUCCUUAUUCCUCCAAUUAAGAGUUAGUAUAUAUUGCUUCGAAUGGAUUGCCUAAGUCCACAAAUUGGUUAUGAACAAUUCAUCAACUUGCAAGAAAUACAUAACUUAGAUAUUUCAUGCAACUUUUAUUGCACCCAAGCCAUGUAUGAUAAAAGUGAUGUAAACUUGAAUGCUUAAAUAAAGAUCAAUGCAAACAUGGAUAGAAUAUUGGAGACAAAAAUUAUAAUAUAUAUAUAUGUAUUAAUAAAAUUUUAUUUUGUUACAUUAUAUCAUGCUUUUAAGAGUUUUGUCUCAACAAGCAUGUCCACAUCUCAUAUGUUGUAACUCACUUUGAAAAACAUUUUUCAUAGUCUUCAAAUAUUUACAUAUCAAUGUUUUAAACUUUUUCACUUUUAUGGCCUACCAAACUGGUUUGAUCAUUUUGAGCAUCCUUAUAUGAUGCAACAUGUUAGUUUAAAAAUAAAUUAAAAUACUUUAUCACAAAUAUGACUUACAUUUGAUAAAAAGUAUUUCAAAUCAUCAAAAAGUAAAAGAUUUUUUAAUAAUAAGAGAGAUAAUUUUAUCAAUAUUUUUAAUAUUAAUCAACAUUAUUUUGCAUUAUAUCCAAGAAUAAUCCACCCUCAUUUCUUCUUAGUUGGAUACUUAGAAAAUAAUUUAGAUCACCACAUGGACCCAUGUGGUCUUAGGUCGUUGAGGGUUAACUUUCUUUUUUUCUUUCUUUCUUUUUCCUUUUAAAUCCAAAUAGAUUUUAAAAUAGAUGUACCAUAGGGAAAUUUUCUCAAAUGACAAGUACUAUUAACAUUUCUCCUUCAAAAAUUGCAAAAGAUUGAUGGGUCACUACUUGAACUUGUUACAUAAUAGUUUUUAUAAUAGUAAUGAAGUUUGUAACCCAAAAAUGAAUCUUAUUAUAAUAGUUGAUGUUGUUAAUAGCAAGUGAACUUAAAUAGAGAAAAUAUGUACAUAGCAGAGAAAUGUGACUUAGCUACUUAAUCUUAUUAUGAUGGUAGUUUUUAGUAAAUAUGGAAACUAAAAAUAAAAAUUGAUUCUACAAUUUAUAUUUUAUAACUAAUCCUCAAAAUCCUUUUUAUGGGGUGCUUGGGCCAAAAAUUUGUUCAAGAGAAAUCAAACUCAAUUGUCACCAUUUUUUUUUUUAACCAUCCAUGCAAACAUCAUUGCUUUUAAAACACUGUUUAAAAAAUAAACCAUAGAUUAUGUAGUUGUUGAAGUAAACAUUAAUAACAUCUAAUUGUAAUUCAAANNNNNNNNNNNNNNNNNNNNNNNNNNNNNNNNNNNNNNNNNNNNNNNNNNNNNNNNNNNNNNNNNNNNNNNNNNNNNNNNNNNNNNNNNNNNNNNNNNNNNNNNNNNNNNNNNNNNNNNNNNNNNNNNNNNNNNNNNNNNNNNNNNNNNNNNNNNNNNNNNNNNNNNNNNNNNNNNNNNNNNNNNNNNNNNNNNNNNNNNNNNNNNNNNNNNNNNNNNNNNNNNNNNNNNNNNNNNNNNNNNNNNNNNNNNNNNNNNNNNNNNNNNNNNNNNNNNNNNNNNNNNNNNNNNNNNNNNNNNNNNNNNNNNNNNNNNNNNNNNNNNNNNNNNNNNNNNNNNNNNNNNNNNNNNNNNNNNNNNNNNNNNNNNNNNNNNNNNNNNNNNNNNNNNNNNNNNNNNNNNNNNNNNNNNNNNNNNNNNNNNNNNNNNNNNNNNNNNNNNNNNNNNNNNNNNNNNNNNNNNNNNNNNNNNNNNNNNNNNNNNNNNNNNNNNNNNNNNNNNNNNNNNNNNNNNNNNNNNNNNNNNNNNNNNNNNNNNNNNNNNNNNNNNNNNNNNNNNNNNNNNNNNNNNNNNNNNNNNNNNNNNNNNNNNNNNNNNNNNNNNNNNNNNNNNNNNNNNNNNNNNNNNNNNNNNNNNNNNNNNNNNNNNNNNNNNNNNNNNNNNNNNNNNNNNNNNNNNNNNNNNNNNNNNNNNNNNNNNNNNNNNNNNNNNNNNNNNNNNNNNNNNNNNNNNNNNNNNNNNNNNNNNNNNNNNNNNNNNNNNNNNNNNNNNNNNNNNNNNNNNNNNNNNNNNNNNNNNNNNNNNNNNNNNNNNNNNNNNNNNNNNNNNNNNNNNNNNNNNNNNNNNNNNNNNNNNNNNNNNNNNNNNNNNNNNNNNNNNNNNNNNNNNNNNNNNNNNNNNNNNNNNNNNNNNNNNNNNNNNNNNNNNNNNNNNNNNNNNNNNNNNNNNNNNNNNNNNNNNNNNNNNNNNNNNNNNNNNNNNNNNNNNNNNNNNNNNNNNNNNNNNNNNNNNNNNNNNNNNNNNNNNNNNNNNNNNNNNNNNNNNNNNNNNNNNNNNNNNNNNNNNNNNNNNNNNNNNNNNNNNNNNNNNNNNNNNNNNNNNNNNNNNNNNNNNNNNNNNNNNNNNNNNNNNNNNNNNNNNNNNNNNNNNNNNNNNNNNNNNNNNNNNNNNNNNNNNNNNNNNNNNNNNNNNNNNNNNNNNNNNNNNNNNNNNNNNNNNNNNNNNNNNNNNNNNNNNNNNNNNNNNNNNNNNNNNNNNNNNNNNNNNNNNNNNNNNNNNNNNNNNNNNNNNNUGGAAAACACUUUGUUUUUUGUUUUCUGAUUAUCAAACAUGUUAUGACUUUUUUUUUCCUUAAAAAUAGAAAACCAUUUUUGAAAACAACUCCAAACACACCCUAAGGCUCUUUUAGCUUGUUGCCUUGUAUGCAUAAGCAGAAAAAAGGAACAAAAGAUGAGAAACACGGUGUUCAACUAUAUUUCCAAGUAGUUUCAAAGGUUUGAUGAGAAAUGCUACAUGCUAAAAUGAACCAUAUUACUAGGCAAUUGAAAAGUUUGAGAGAGUGAUACCUCUUGCUUUUUUGUAGUACAUAUUUCCAAGCAAAGGGAAGAAUAAAUUAGGGAGCAUGCCUGAGUGAUUAAGGUACACAGUAAAAUCAAAUAAGAGGCUUCAUUAGCAUAAUAAGAUGCAAAUUUGGUUUAAAAUCAAACAGAACUCAAGCAAAAUCUUAAUUACCUUGUAUUUAUUAAUGGUGAUGGAAAUAGUAUUCUGGCUUUAAGCAAAAUGAACCACCAGAUGUAAGGCCCCUUGCAUCAUGAAAUUGAAGCAUAUUGAAAACAGAAAAAAGAAAGAAAGAAAAAAUGCAACAAGACUUUUAAUAGGUGUAUCAACCAUGUAUCUCUAUGUGAAAUUAUUGCCAUGUGAAGCUGGUGGCAAAUUCGAUUGGGCUUAAAACUCUUUUUGGACCUGAUUUAAUUUUUUUUUAAAAAUUUACAUGGCCUAGAAUGAUGCAUUUAGUACUGCUCUUUCAUGUUUAGGAUAUUUACCUUUGCAGAUGCUAAUAAGCUGCAUCAAUGGCCAUGAAUUUUGCUUUCAUCUACAUCAGUCCCUUUGAUUGCCAUCCUGCAUCUAAAAAGUAAAUUCCAUCAUUAUCAAGAAGCAAAAGCAAUAUUUUGAGUUAGAAAUGGAGAUUGUUUUUUAUAUCAGACUUACAAUUCAAUAGACUAAUAAUCACCUGUGUUUGGAAGAGGAUAGUCCCAAUACCUUAAAUAGGUUUGUUUGUAAAAAUCUUCCUCUGCACCAUAUCCAACCCAAGAUCUAUAGGCAGACCAACGAAUGUAAUCAUAAGCAGGUUGUUUUUCCAACUCUUUUUGACUGCUUUUCCAUGUUGAUAUGAUUAAAAAGGCAUGGCCCAGUAGCCAUUUUAUUUUAAAAUUAAAAUAGGAAAUAUAAGAUAAAAAAUGAAAAUAGCAUAUGUACCAUGCUUUUCCUAGGCCCUUUCAUCUUCUUUUCACCAUCACCAUAUUAGAGAACGAACAACCAACACCAUAUUCACUUCAGACAUGGAAUCUGCAGGAUGAAACUCAAUAUUCCUUUCUGUUAGCAUAAUAAUGAAAAAGAGUUAUAUGUUUUCAAUGUAAAAGGCAAAAAAAUAAAAUCAAGAGCAUUUCAUUUUGAAUAUAUAUUCAGAAAUUUUUUUAAUGCAAAUAUAAAUUGUUGCACAUAACUGAUGAAUUAGAGAACUAAAUUUCCAAUCAGAUAGAAGGAUGGAUGUGAGCAACAAGAGAAAAGAGCGACUAUCAUCAAUUGGGGUACUUGAUUGACCUUUUUACUGCUGUACAAUGCAAUCUAUCUCCAGAUAUGGGAGGAUAUGAGCAAUUUAGGGCCAUUCUUUUCCUUUGUUCUUCAUGAACCUCCUUUUCAGAAUAGGACAUCUCUCUUGAUUAUGUAAUGUUGCAAGUAUUGAUAGGACUCAGUUGUUGCCAUACAUUUUACGUGGGGUUUCCAGAGUCACACACUGGCUAAGCACAACCCCCUCUGUAACAAGUAUCUGAAGACAAAUAUUUUAAAAGAACUGUUAAUGAUUAAGAUUAAAAAGGGGAAAGGAAAAUAAACAAAGAAAACAUAAAGUACUGUGCUCUUUCUGUGUGACUUUUAAGCUUCUUUAAGAAAUAAUAAAAUCAUUUGAAUUAACAAGUGGAACUGAGAUACGGAACAACAUGAAGAAUAGAACGUUUUAGAGAAAGAAAGUUACUAGCAAAUAGAAUAUUUGGUGGAAGAUUACAGAGAAUUGUGGGUACCUGAUUGAAAUUGUUAUUGUUAGACAAUGCCAUCUAUUUCCAUCUAGGGGGUGUAGGCAAUAUUGGGCCAAUCUUUUCAUUUGUUCUAGAAUAGGACACCCAUGAUUACAAGUCUUGCAAGUGACGGUGGCAGCCCUUCCUUUGGCACAAAGGAUAGAGGCUUCUUCAUAUUCUCACAAUCUGAAAUCGCAAGUUAUUUAAGGUUGGUGGUCCAAAAUUCUUUUGGAGAGAACCUCACAUCUGGACAAUUACAUAGACCCAACAUACCAAGAGCUGUGAGAUUUUGCAGGAUAUUGCAUGGAAUUGGCUCUAAUUUCUUGCAAUUCCAAAUGAAAAGCAUCUCAAGAAAGGAGGGAAAGUUGCCUCUUGGAAUGCACUUGAGAGACAAACAUCCCAAUACAUGUAGUUGUUCAAGACGACAAGUGUUGUUGCUGUCAAUUGAAGUGUGGUGCAUAAUUCCCUCAGGUAGAGACUCUAGUUUCUGGCAAUCUAUAAUGAGUAGCUUCUUAAGGGUGGUGGAUAGCUUACCUUUUGGUAAUCUAAUAAGAGAUGGACAAUCUACAAUUUCUAAGCACUCAAAGGCACAUCUGGUGCUCACCAUUCCAUCGGCCAACGUCUCCAAAAGCUCACAAUUUUUCACCAAAAGAAGUCUUAGCAUGGGCAACAUAUUUGUCUCUAGGAAUGGCACAAGUUCUGGCAAUUAUCAAUUACCAAAUCUAUAAGAGAUGUGAGGGUGCAUAGUGCAUUUGGCAGCUUCUCUAAGUUGAAACAUCCUUUCACUUCCAAAUAUUGAAGAUUGCAAGGCAGCCUUUGCUCGUCCAAGGAUACAACCCCAUCACACCCAUCCAUCCAUAAACCACCAAGGUUUUCCAACCCAAAUCCAGGCUUCCUCAAACAUGCCGGCUCAUCACCAAGGUUUACCUUCAACAACUUACUUACAAAGACCUAACUACCACCUCUCAUUAAGGGAUUUUAUCUUCAAUUUAUAUUAUGAUAAUAUAAAUUUGAAUGAGCACAUUUGAAAUUAAUACAAGUGAGGAGAGACAUAAUGAGAAAAAGAACAACCUGGGAUAUAUGCCCUUUCUGUGCAUCCUGAACUACUUGACAUACCAGAUGCUAGUAGAAAGGUCCUCUCUAGGUCAACAGUAACUACAAUAUCAUGUAAUUAGUCAAAAAGAUGUAAAUUUGAGGGGAAAAAUAUGAGAAAGUUAAAAACAAUCUGAUGAAAUACAAUGGUCAGUUUAGAAGUUCGAGAAAGUUAUACCUCUCCUGUUUUUGCAAUACAUAUUUGCAAACAGAUGGCAGAAUCCCAAAAAACCAAGGUGUUAAAUAAAGGAGCAUUCCUAUGUGAUUAAAGUACAGAAAAAAAAAUUAAAUAAAAGGGCUUCAUUAACAUAAUAAGAUUCAAAUUUAGACUGGAAUGAAACAGAACUAAAACAAAAUCUUAAAUACCUUUUAACAAUUAAUGGUGAUUGAAUCAGUAUACUGAGCUUUAAACAAAAAGAACCACCAAACAUAAGGCCUUUUGCCCAUCCCUUGGUGGGAAGUGAAGUUGUUGCCCAAAUUUGAUAGGGCCUUAAAACUUGAAUCACAUGUAAAUCCAGAAACUAGAAAAGAAUGGGGCAUUUAGUACAUCUUCUUUCAUGUGUAGGAUAUUUAGUAUUUACCCUUGCAGAUAUGAAUGGCAGGAAAUUCUGUGCAACAUAAAUUCCAUCAUUAUUAGAAAAUGAAAGCAAUAUGUUAGGGUUGAAAAUGGUGAAAAUUAUGUUCCAUCAGAACUUACAAUUCAAUGCAUUAAUACGCGCCUUUGUUUUGGAAGAGGGCAAUGCCAAAUAUCAAUAUUAAAUUGUGGUAGGAAGGCCUAACUUCUGAAAAAUUUGGAGAACCCCUGAUUACAUAACAAAAGGGCGACUCACAUAUUAUAGAGAGAGUAGUAAUUAGCAAGUAGAACCUUUGAUGGAAGAUUACAGAGAAUUAGGAGUACCUUAUUGAAGCUGUUAUUGUUGUACAAUGUCAUUUAUUUCCACGUAGGGGAUGUGGCCAAUCUUGGGCCAAUCUUUCCGUUUGUCCUUGAGACACCUCUUUUCUAGAAUAGGACACUCCCAGAUUUCAAGUAUUGCAAGUGUUGCCCGCCCUUGGGCACAAAGGACCAGAGCUUAGGGCAAUUGUAGAGUUCAAGGCUUUUAAGAGAGAUGAGGCUUUGGAGACUUAUGGAGGCUAUGGAUUUCAAGUUGUAGAGAUUUACCAACCGGAGACAUGUGAUAGAUGUAGGAAGAAGAAGGUGAGAGCUGGGAAAAGAAAGCAGAUCUGGGAA